rnacentral:lncRNA from 1 species
GGUCCCGCUAAGAUCAUAGCAUGUGUCUAAAAUCGAAAGAGCUGAUGCGUUCGGAUACUUCGCCAUGCCUUUGCGGAAGGAAUCGCGAAGGCUGGCGUAGACGGUAGGUGGCAGCCGUGUAAUGACAGUGCCGGAGUCGAUAAUGGCGCCACCGGAGGUGAAAAGAGAGGGCGAGAUUGGAAGCUUGGUUCCUCCGACGCUGAUCCCAGCAAUGUCGAGUCCGUAGAAGGAAUUGCUACUGGAGAAAGGGGCGAAAGGAGUGUAUUUUACAUACUUGUUACGGGUGGCGCCGAAUGUGAGGUGGCCAACGGCGCUGGAAGUGGAGGGAAGACAAUAAGAAAAAGUUUUAUAGUAUUUUUGAGAGGUUUGUUGGACAAAGGAGAUUGGAUGACGACCAAGGCCUAACAGACCGGCUGAGCCGCCGAAUAGGCCUUGGUUGUUUUGUCCACAACCGAAUAAAAAACCAUCGACAGCAUCUGUCGAUGUUACAGUCAGCCGCUCGCGGCUGAAGUAUCCGACCGAGAAAGAUUGGUCGCCAUACUGGAUCCCAUAUAUGCAUGCUUUUGUCGAUGAAGAACAGCCGGGAUCAUUUCCUGUAAAAAAACAUACAAUUUACAUCCACAAAGUAAAUUUUUUUACAAAAUAUGUAAAUAUUUCAUGAUCAUGAUCAUAAUACAUAUACAGAAAACGAAAUAUACAAUAAUCUUGUAAAGUAUUUUUACAUCAUUAAUCAAAGACAGACAUGUUUUUUUGUCAAAUCAUAUUUUUCAUUUUAAAAUACUGAUAUACUCAUGAAUAUAUACCUGUAGCCGAAGAGAGUUGAGUGCAAUCUGGAGAAGUGCAUGUGAUAUUGUAAUAAGAAGUAGACUUUGAUGGAUCAAAUAUUUCAUCUAUUUGUUUAUAACAAGAACGAGCACAAGGUUGACAUUGAGUCCAAGUAAGAUCACUACCGGUAUCAAAAAUAAGUGAUAAAUCUUUUUUAGGAGUACCAAGUCCAAGAACAACAUAAUAGUUUCCUGAUCCAAUUAAGCUACCAGAUUUUGCAGGUAAACUAGCUGAAGAAGAAGAAUCCAAUUCUAUUUCCACCUUAUUGUUGUUAUUGUUACUGGAUGAUGAUAAUAGCUUUGAGUGAAUAUAGCUUAUUCUUUCUUUGUCAUGAUUUAGAAUAUCACUAUGUGUUGGAAUAGAAUUUGCUUUUCCAUUGUUAUUCAGUUGGGAACAUGGGCCAUGUUUGUGUAAUACAUCUAAUGAUGCUUUUCUUUUUGGACCUGAAAUUCAAAAAAUGAAUGAACCGUGUUUAGUGGUGUCAGAUUAUUGUGGCUUAACCAUUACUUUAAAAUUAAUAAAAAAAAAUCAAUAAUUAAUGUCAUAUUUGCAUAAAUUAUUCUAAGGAUGAGAAUGACUAUACCUAAGGAAUCUAGAGAUAUUUGAAACAUAUCACUCACAAAGACAAGACUCAAAGACAAAAUCUUAUCUUUAAUUUGUUAUAUAUUUAUAUCAAGUGAGAGUUAUUUAUACUCAAGAAUAAUUGUUUUAUAUUAUUAGUUAGGUACAUAUAAAUAACUAAACUACCCAAUAAUGGAAUUUAAUAUAGUUUUUUAUUAAAAAAUAUUAGUUUUCCAACUUACAGUUUUCCCACUACUUUAGCUCCAAAAAUAAUCAUUAAUACGACAAAUAAUUAUCACAAACAAUAUAUUAAUUCUCUUAUACUCUAUGAUAUAAAUAAUAGCACUCUCAUCUUGUGUAAUCAUUGAGCAAACUCUAAGAACUUUUUGGUUUCUUUUACGCGUAUGAAAAUUGGAGAAAAGUUGAAUCUUUUGGCCAAAAUUUGUCAAUAUCUUCAGCUAUACAAAACUUGCCUAAAAGAUGACGUGUUGUAAAAGUGAAAAUUAGCCACUUGUUAUUUGUUUUUUAACUUAUUGUGUGUUGGUGCCAAACGUGAAUAAAUUUUGUAUUUUUUUCUUUCAUAAAGAUAAAUUAUUAUAAAUAAAUGAACAAAAUACAAUGUCACAAGUGAUGAAUUCUUCGAGUUUAGUGUAUGUAUACAGAGUUAUAAUAGUGAUCAAUGACCCGUGAAUGUUAUGAGUCUUUCAGUCAAAUAGUGUCUUAUGUAUUGAUUGAAUGUGUUCUCAUGACCCGUGAUUAUAAAUUUAACAUUUUGUCUCUACUAAGGAAUAGAAAGAAAAAAACAUGUCAAUUAUUAUUUUUGUGACAAAAUUUUGCACUUCAUAAUCAAAUAUUGAAUCCGUCGAGCCGAAAAUCAAGUUCGAUUCGGCGUUAAGAAAAAAAAAGAUUUUUGACCAUUUUAUCAAAAUGUUUUUGGUUAGUUUUAUAUAUAUUUGUUUUAUGUGUCUAUGUUUUUUUAUUAUUUAUAAAUUAGAGAAAUUUAAAAUUAAUUGUUAAUAUUAAUAAAAUUGGUUAUUCAAAUAAGAAUUAUGUGAGUGGUAGGUGGCUUUUGUUCCUUUAUCCUUCCUAUCUUUAAUAUGUGAUGGUGGGUUCCAUAUUUAUAUACCAAACCAAGUAGUAACCUUUCAUUAGCACAAUAUAGUGGGUUCCAUGUGAAUAUUCUCGUGACAAAAUGAUGCCAACCAUUGAAACAAAUUGACAUAAUUCAAUAAAUUUAAGUAGGUUCUCUAAUUAUUAUUAAAAAUAAAAACUAAUUUUUAAAUUUAUUAAAUGAUUGAUGUAUCUAGUUUAAUAUAUAGACUAAAUACAUAUUAACCUAAAAAUAUAUUUUCAUUUAUAAUAAAAAUGAUCGUAAUAGUAUCAAAAUACAUCGAGCAAAAAAACAAAAAAAAACUAUAAUAAGUAUGAAGAGUUAAAAAAACAUUAUUUUUCCCAAUGAAUUGACUAUUUAGUAUAUGAACCACAAAACAAGAGAGGAUAGUUUACUAGUUGUACCAUAUACCAUAAGCCAAGGUUAACCAUAUAUUAGUUAAUUAGGAAAAAAUCUAAUUAAAUUUCUAUUUACUAUAUGCCACUACUAAUUAUUAUGUAUCUCAAUUUAUUUGGUAAAUAUUCUAGCUAUUAUUAUAAAUAAACAACUAAUUUUUUAAAUAUGUUGAAUAAUCAAUAUAUUGGACAAACUCACCAGUUAUUAAUUCAAUAAAAUUAUAAAAAAAAAUAGUUAGAAUAGUAAUUAAAAGACAUAAAGAUUAACAAUAAUUUAAUAAAAGUUUCUAGCAUGCAUGUAAUUAAAAACACUAACAACAAUUAAGCUUAACCCAUUGGGGGAGAGGGAAAUUAACAUGAAAGAUUGAAUUGACCUUUGGUUGAAGAACUGCAAGAAGAUGAUGGUAAGAGAGAGUUGAUUUGAACAAGAUGGUGUCUUUCUUCCCAUGAAAGUUCUUCAAUGGCAAAACCUUUCUCUAAAAAGCAAAAGAAAAAGAGACCAACAAGAAGAGAAAGUAACAAGAAAUGAGACAUUGGGAAAGCCAUACUAAGUAGAUGCUUUUGAACACACUACUUGUCGGGUGCUCGGUUUUUAUAGAACUAAAUUAUGGAUGUAGGACCAAUAAAUGAUCAAUUUCACACGUCACAUAUUAUAUAUAACUAACCAAACUAUUUCAUUGAGUUGAAGUUUGUAGUACUAUAUCGAUAGUAUUCAUUAGUAAAUGUGCGACACAUUUUGACUAUGUUGACUUGUGAGAAAACCUACUGUGGAUUUUUAACAUUUUCUAGAUGCAGGCCAGUACAUGGUGCAAUGAUGUUCUUUGUGUUAAAAUUAUGAAAUAAUUAAUUAUCGAAAUUAAUGAUAGACUUAUUUUAAUCAUUAUCUUAGAUUAAUUUUAACAGUGCAUAAAAGAACACUAUCAAUAUCAAUAUAUGAUGGGUUGUUAAAUAUUAUAUUGAUAAUUUCAGAGUUGUAACCGGUUAAUUCGAGGUGUAACCGGUUACAGCAAAACCAAAAACACUUCUGAUAUGGUAGAAAAGUGAAGAUUCCGAAGUUGUAAUCGAUUAACCUUAGAUGUUAAUCGGUUAUCACUGAAGUUAUUUUAAUUGUUAGUGUCGGUUGUAAUCAGUUAGCCAAAUGGUGUAAUCGAUUACACAUCCGAGUUUUGUACUUUUUCUGUUAUGCAAUUGUUUGCUUUUGAUCUCAAUUAUAUUAUAACACUUGUAUAAAUGUGUUGGAUGCAUUCUCAUCCUAAAUAAUGACAAUUCUCUCUCUCUCUCUCUCUCUCUCUCUCUCAAUUUUCCUCUUUUACUUUCCAUAUUCCAAAUUUCUCCACCUUUGUUCACCAACCUUGUGGUUCAAAGUUCCAAAAUUUGGCAUCAAGACCAUGGUUCUGAUCCACAAACACCUAGUGUUUAACAUGAAUUAUGUUUCCAAUGAAGAAUCUAUGCAAACCUACCUAUCCUUGAUGCGAAGAAUUACGAUAAAUUGUUCAACAAAAUAAAAGUGUUGUUUGUCUUCCAAGAUGUUCUUGAAGUGAUCAAGAACGGGGUGAAUCCUCUUGUCGUUGGUGCAACGAGUGCACAACAGGCAAGGCAUAAGGAAGAGAAGAAGAAGGAUUUUAAGGUGAUGUUUUUGAUCCAUCAAUGUGAUUCAACUCAAAAGCGUCAACUAAAAUUGAUUCAAAUGAAAGAAAGGGAGACAAUCAAGAAUUUUACAACGAGAAUCACUCGGUUGGUAAAUCAUGUGAUGUCAGGCGGAGAAACAGUCACGGAGCAGUAUGUUGUCGUGAAAAUAUUGCAUUCUUUAACACCAAGAUUUGACAAUGUAGUUAUAACGAUUGAGGAAUCGAAGGAUCUUGCAAUGAUGAGUAAAGAUGAGUUGUAAAGCUCUCUUGAGGCUCAUGAGCAAAGGAUGAAGGAGAGAAAUUAUGAUAAGUCAAAGGUGGAAAUCACUUUGCAAGCUCGCUUCAAUGAGAAGAACACGAGAUCGAAAGGAAAAUGCCAAGAAGAGUAAAAGGAUUUUUCAUAAUUUUGGUAGAAGAGAGUCCUAAAAUUCAGAGAAUUUGACUUGUCAAAGGGGUGAGAGAAGCUGCAAUAAAAAUGGUGGUCAAGGAAACUAUAGAAGUGAAAAAAAAGAGAUUUGACAAAAGCAAAGAGCAGCGUUUUAAGUUUCGAAGGUUUGGACAUUUUACAAGAGAGUGUAAUGCGAACAAGAAGGAACCUCAAGGGGAUGAAGUCAAGGUUGCAAGGUAAGAGUUUGAUGAACAGAAUACGCUCUUGGUCAUGAUCACAGAAGGAGAAUGUAGGAGCAGUAGGGUGCGGGACUACACUAGAAGCAAUUCUAAGAAUGCUGCAAAAUUGAGUUGUAACCGGUUACAUGAUACAGUUAACCGGUUACAUGCAGUAGAAAAUGCCAUAAUGAGUACGAAAGGAUUUCUGUACAUCGUGGAAUGGUACUUGGACUCUGGUUGUUCUACUCAUAUGACAAGGAGGAAGGAUUGGUUUGUUAAAAUCAAUCGUGCCAUGAAGAACAAAGUAAAGUUCGCGGAUGAUACCACUCUAACGGUCGAUGGAAUCGAUGACAUUUUGACCAUGAGAAGGGAUGGUGGACAUUCUUUGAUCAAAGAUGUAUUGUACAUUCCAGGAAUCAAAUGUUACCUUUUAAGUAUUAGCCAAUUGCUUGAGAAAGGUUAUAAGACCCACAUGGAAAACAAGGGGAUGCGUGUUAUGGACGCAAAAGGACCUUUGGUCCUUAAAGCAUCUAUGGAUGCCAAUAGAACCUUUAAGGUUAAGCUGAAGGUUAUGGAGCAUAGAUUUCUUACUACAAAAGAAAGUAGAGAAUAGUGGAUAUGGAAUUAUUGUCUUGGACAUUGUUGAAAGAGUAUAUCUUUGGCAAAUAUUUUUGUAUCGUAUCCACAGAGAUUGGGUAAUAUUACCGCCGUUCUAUAAUUCAAAUGUUAUAAGUUUAGAAAGUAACAGGGUUGUUUUGUUUGGAAAAAUAUCUUGUUAAUAAAUGUUAACAUAAACUAUUAAGUGGUUUUAGACAAAUAUAAAAGCUUGGCAAGAUUGGAGUUCACUAUUUCAAAUAUCUAUGAUUCCCUAUGAUAAAUAAUUAGAUUCAAGAUUAUUGAUGAUGUUCAAAUAUCCCCUCAAAGUCAUUUAUGUCUAAAUGAUAUCGUGAUAGUUACUAUAUUGAUCCUUAGACGAUCUCUCCACCUAACUAUCAAUAUAGUAACCUUGAAUGUUCAAUAUCAAAGAAUAGUAAUGAAUAAAUCUAUCUCUACAACUUAUUCACUACUUGAAAAUCUGUUUUAUGUCUAAACUCGAGUAAUCUCUCUCGACAACUACUCAAAUCUGGUUUUCAACUUAAAGCAAAAACAGUAAUCAAUACAUCAACAAUCUCUAUCUCAUAUAUAAAUCAAAGUGAAUACAUAGACAGAUGAGAAUAGCUACUACCUCCAAUCUUGACAAAAGGGAGUUUAGCUCCUCAUCACCAUUGUUACAAAGCAGAAGGUUUUAGAAGAAAAACUCUGUUUUUCUCUAUUACAAAAGCUCUACAGCACAAUGUGUGAAUGAAUGGAAUAAUGUUUCAAUACCUAGGUUAAACUAUUUUGUCUCUACCAAAAAGGUUGACAUUUCCCUAAUUGGACAUUGUCAUCUGCAGCAGAAAAGCACUUCCCAGGCAGACAUCAAAAUGGCAAUUACUUUUUCUGCACAGCAGCACAUUUGACCCUUGGUCAGCUUGCUGGAUUCGCAGCCUUCGCGGCGCGAAGGAAGUUCGCGGCGCGAACUGUUGCUUCCCCAGCUUCCUUGUUUGGCAAGCUUCCUCCAAAAUGCCAUGUUGAAACCAAGGUCUUGCUUAUCCAUAAUUCUACACAACUAACAAAAAAUGUGAAAUAACUAUUCAAAACAAAAUAAAUUAAACCUAAUUGCAUUUAUACAAAUUAGUGAAGAUAAAAGUGUGUAAUUACAUCAAAACUUGGUAAAAGGGACCAAUAAAAUGGUAUAAAAAGUAGUACUAAUUGGUCCCUAACAACUCUCCCCAACUUAGCAUUUUGUUUGUCCCUAAACAAAAGUUUCCACCCUUACAACCAAAGUCAUGACACAAAAGAUUUAAACAAGAAUUCAUCAAGGACAUUCAAAUGGUUCAAAAGCGUUUGGCGUUUUCUCAAUUCACUUAUCUCAACUCUAGACAAAACAUAAAUAAGGGAAAUGGUAAAGUGCAAAAAUCAUUCCAAGGAUUUCAAAGUCAUACAUGUCAAAAUUGAAUCAAACUUACACACACAUCAAUAUUGAUGAAUAACAUGAAGGGUUACUUUCACUCAUCCAAGCAGUUAAAUCAACAACAACUCAAAUCAUGCGGUUAUCACAACAAGUACCAAAUCAUGUGAAAAAUGAGAAUCAAGAGGUCUUUCAAGGGUUGUAAUGUGGCUUAGGUUACAAGAAAGGAUAUGAUUAAGAGAAUUCAACCAAAUUGCCUAUCCUAAGGGAGCAUUCCCAAAGAUUCAACCCUACACAAUUUCCCUUUCUUUGAUCCCUAUCUUUUUCUUUUUCUUUUUCUUUUCAAAUCCACACAACCAUGAGCAUUUCCUUUGCUUUUCUUUUUCUAAUUUUUUUUAUGCUCUAUGGUUUCAAGGGUGAUUUCUUUUUCUUGUUUCUUUUCAUAUUUUUACCCUUUCAUAGAAACUCACUUUUCCAAGUUUCUAAUCAACUUUUCACUUUACUCUCCCCAACUUUAGAUUCCAAAACCAAAUUUAUUCAAUAAUGCUCCCUACUUAGACAUAAGCAAAAGGCAAAAUUUUGCAAACAACUCGGUUUGAGGUUUCAACUGAUACGAAAGAAAUUAGGAUUCAUUUAUUCCACAAUUUUCAAUUGAUUUUACAAUGAUCAAUCAAAUGAAUCCUAAAUUAAGCUCAAAGGGGGUUAACUAAGGAUUAUUCCUCACAAGGUUAGUUGAUUCAAACUUUUUGGUCAAGUGGUUUUAUAAUCCAAAUGUUAUAAGUUUAGAAAGUUUAUGUUAUAAGUUUAGAAAGUAACAAGGUUGUUUUGUUUGGAAAAUUUUCUUGUGAGUAAAUGUCACUAAAAAUAGUAGAAUGGUUUUAGUAAAAUAUAAAAGCUUGGCAAGAUUGGAGUUCACUAUUUCAAAUGCUUAUGAUUCCUUAUGAUAAAUAAAUAGAUUCAAGAUUAUUGAUGAUGUUCAAGUAUCCUCUCAAAGUCAUUUAUGUCUAAAUGAUAUUGUGAUAAUCACUAUAUUGAUCCUUAGACGAUCUCUCCACCUAACUAUCAAUAUAGCAAUCUUUAAUGUUUAAUACCAAAGAAGAGUAAUGAAUAAAUCUAUCUCUACAACUUAUUCACUACUUGAAAAUCUGUUUUAUGUCAAGACUCAAAUAAUCUCUCUCGACAACUACUCAAAUCUGGUUUUCAACUUAGGGCAAAAACAGUAUUCAAUACAUCAACAAUCUUUAUCAUACAUAUAAAUCAAAUGGAAUACAUAAACAUAUGAGAAUAGCUACUACCUCCAAUCUUGACAAAGGGGAGUUUAGCUCCUCAUCAUCAUUGUUACAAAGCAGAAUAUUAAAGAAGAAAAACUCUGUUUUUCUCUCUUACAAAAUCUCUCAAUAUCAAUGUGAAUAAUAAUGAAUGAAUGCCCUAGAACAAUGUAUUUUUCUUUACAAAUAGGGUUGACAUUUCCCUAAUUGGUCAUUCUCAUCCAAAGCAGAAAAGCUAUUCCAAGGCAGACACCAAAAUGGCAAAACCAGCUGGCCUUCAAAACAGCACUUUUGACCCAAAAAUCAGUUUGCUGGAUUCGCAGGGUUCGCGGGGCGAACUGAUGCUGUCUCAUUCAGUUCGCGGGGCGAACUUUGUUCGCGGGGCGAACUGAAGCUGCCUCAGUUUCCUUGCUUUGCAAGCUUCAUCCAAAAUCUUCCAUAUUAUGAUGCUGCAAUCCAAAGCUUUCUCAUCCAAAAAUUCUACAAAACUAACAAAUAUGUGAAAUAACUAUUCAAAACAAAAUAAAUUAAACCUAAUUGCAUUUGUACAAAAUAGUGAGAAUAAAAGUGUGUAAAUACAUCAAAACUUGGCAAAAGGGACCAAUAAAAUGGUAUAAAAAGUAGUACUAAUUGGUCCCUAACAGACAUCUCAAUUUUAGAGAUCUCAAAGACAUGCAAAAGAACGGAAUGGUAAUGAGGCUUCCAUCAAUCAAUAUAUCGACUGGAAUUUAUGAAGAAUGUGUGCAAGCGAAGCAACAUAAGGAUAAAUUCAGCAAGGAUGCAUAUCAUAGAACCAAGAAUCAUCUUAAGGUGGUGUAUUCGGAUGUGUGUGGAGUUAUGCAAGUAGAUUUCAUUGGUGGCAAUAGGUACUUCAUAACAUUUAUCGAUGGUCAUAGUAGAAAGCUAUGGACAUACCUAAUCAAGAGAAAUGAUGAGGUAUUUUGAAGUGUUUAAGAAGUUCAAGUCCAUGGUUGAAAGGCAAAGUGGUUACAAAAUUAAAGUACUCAAAACGGAUGGUGGAGGCGAAUAUGUCUCAAAUGACUUAAAGAGGUUUUGUGAUAAAGAAAGAAUUAUACAUGAGGUAAUACCACCCUAUACAAUGCAUCAAAGUGGUGUUACUGAAAGAAAGAAUCGAUCAAUCAUGAACAUGGUGAGAAACAUGUUAAAGGGGGAAAACUUGCUGAAAGAGUUAUGGGGAGAAACGGUAUCCAUAACUGCCUAUUUGUUGAAUAGGUGUCCUAUGAAAAAGCUUGAGAAUGUAACAUCAGAGGAAGCAUGGUUGGGAUUCAAACCAAAUCUGAACAGUUUACGAGUUUUUGGUUCGUACCAUACUGACAUGUUCUUGGACAACUUAUAAAGAAGCUGGAUGAUAAGGGAGAAGUGAUGAUACUUGUAAGGUAUCACUCUUCCGGUGGUUACAAGUUGUUUGAUUCAACAAGGGGAUGGUUGUGAUCAACCGAGACGUGAUUGUUAACAAGAUUAAGGAGUUGUAACAGCUUGUAACCAAUUACGUAAGAGCUAUAACCGGUUAAAGCUUUGAAAAUUCAAAUUAUGCAGAAACGGAAGGAGAAGAAACUACUGUUGUCGAAGCCCUAAUUGAAGAGAAUGUUAGAAGAUCAACAAGGAAAAGAGGUUUCCCUCAAAUACUCUAAGAUUGUGAGUUGUUCCGAGACAAUAAAGUUAAUGAUGAUGAUGAUUUCGUCCAUUUUUCACUUAUGGUUGUUGAUGCAGUAAAGCAGAAAGAAAAGUAAGUAUUUUGUUUUAUCAUCUCCACAAGGAUUAAUGCGACAUCAAAUUUUGUUCAACGGUAUCUACGUUUCUAAGCUUGGGUUUGUAAAAUUUGAAUUUAAAAGCUAAAUUAUGUAAAAUGAAAGAAUAAAUAAAUAAAGCUUCGGAGAGAUCUGAGAGCUUUGCAGGAUUGGAUUUCAUCCAUCAUACGAACACGUAAUUUACCAACCAGUUAUGCACAAUCUAAACAUUCGUCGAUAUCAUCACGUGUCGCUCACAACAGGGUUCAUGUCUAAACUUCCGCCGAGAGUUCUACCAUAUUGUUUGAUCGAUGAUCUCUCAGCUUAUCAGACAAUACAAAGCAUUAAGAUUUGAUACUCACGUUAAUGUUAAACCUAAUUUAUGUUUAGAGUUUAACAUCUAACAUAUGAUUAUCCUAGAUCUAGAUUCGAAGAGUAUUUCUCAAUAACGGUUCAAAUCCAUAGAUAAACAAGUAAAUAAUGAUAACAUCAAUAUAGAUUCGUGAAUAACGCCAUGAUCAAUAAAAAUACAUACUAUAAAUUUGAACUUACAUACAAACCCAACAAGAAAGGGAUUACAAGGAGAAGAAUGAAGAUGAACAAACAUCCACCGUGAUUUCCCAACGAUAGAGGCAAACUCAACUCCGGAUCUUCAAGAAGCAUCCUAACUUAUUAUUUUCUAAGUAUCUAUCUCUCCUAACUACAAAAAAGAUGUUGAUGGAAUUGGGGUUAAAAGUUCCCAAAACCAUCCCCUAAAAAUCUAUGUACAAAUGAAUAUAUAUGGGCUGAAAAAGUGGAUAAGUGCCAAUUAUUCACACACAAAAUUACCACAAUUUAGCACUUAUCAAUGGUCGAAUACGAGCCUGUUAAAAUGGAAGAGGCUUUAAGUGAUCCAAAGUGGAUUUAUGCUAUGAAGGAGGAGCUGGUAUCCAUCGAGAAAAAUAAUACUUGGGAGUUGGUUGAUUUACCGAAUGGAAAAAAUCCAAUUGGUGUGAAAUAGGUGUUCAAAGUGAAGGCAAAUCCGAAGCAAGAAAUAAUCAAGCAUAAGCUUAAUUGGUUGCUAAGGGAUUUUUGCAAAGAGAAGGCAUAAUUUUUGAAGAGUUAUUUUCAUAGAUUUCUAGGACAGAAACCAUUAGCCUUGUUAUUGGUAUGUGUAGGACAACUGUAAGACCCCAAUUUUGACCCUAAGAUCCCUCAUGUUAUCUCAUCAUAUGCAUUGGCUAUGGGAUCACACCUUGGCAUCCUCCUUACCCCUUAUUCAUUGGGUUUUCAUUGGGAGAGAUCACCAAGCAAAUUUUAUUGUAUCAUACUUUGUUUUUUUCUCUGUUUACUAACCAAAAUACCAAGAAUAUGUCUAUGUAUAGCUUUACUUCUUUUGUAGGUAGUGUGUGCAUCCAUGCAUGCCUCAUCAAGCUCACAACUAGGAUUUGAGACUCUCAAUGCAAGGAGAUAAAUCAAGAGAUGGUUCACAAUGGUUCUAGACAUCAUAUAUUGAUCCCCAUGUUCUUCAUUUAUCAUUUGGAUCAAGAAAUCAUCAAUAGUUUGAAUCUUGUUUGCCUUGGAAGCCUUAAUCCAUCUGGGUAUCUUGUGUGACUUCCUCAACAAGUUUCUUCAUCAUUUGAUUAAAUAUAUCAAAGGAUACUUCAUUUCACAUUAUAUUAAGCAUAUAUUAUCCUCCAUGAGUCCCAGAGAUCAAGAGAAAUUCAAGUUUGCAAGUUGGUUCAAAAAAGUUGGCCAGAGAGAGUCAACAGGUCAAAACUGGGGUUCCCUAGACCCUAUCUCCUACAACUUUUGUCAUAUGAAAAUUAUUCCAAGAGAAACGUUACUCCUUAUGACAUUCCAAACAACGUUCAUGUUGUCAUCAAGAGCUAGUUUUGCUUGGAAAGUCAUUUUUUUAUGGUGAAAGAUUAUAGGUCAUUUUGUUUGUGCCCUAGUUAGGAGGUCAACUUCCAAGGACCAUAACUUGCUCAAUUUUUAUGAGAUGAAGGCCAUCCAGGUUUCAUGAUCAAUUUAAAUAUGUCCUAUUGGAGGUUGGCUUCAAGAAAUGUGUAUCUGAGCAUGGAGUGUAUGUGAAGAUGGAUACAAAGGAAUGAGUGAUUAUUCUUUGUCUAUAUGUAGACGACUUGUUGAUAACAGGAAGCAACAAAAAGUGAAUUUCAAAGUUUAAGAGUGAAAUUAUGAAAGAGUUUGAGAUGACUAACCUUGGUCUCAUGACAUACUUCCUUUGCAUUGAGUUCCACAAGUCUAAAAGUGAACUGUUGAUGCACCAAAGAAGGUAUGCUAUUGAGAUAUUGAAGAAGUUUGAAAUGGAGCAUUAUAAUGAUGUCAUUACUCUAGUUGAAACAAGUUUAUAGUUGUCUAAGAAUGAGGAUGAGCAAUAUUUUGAUCCAACUCACUAUAUGAGGUUGAUUGGAUCCUUGCGUUAUUUGUGCAAUGCAGGACCAGACUUGGCGUUUAGUGUUGGUAUUGUGAGUAGAUUCAUGGGGAGACCGAAGGUGUCACACUUAACAGUAGUUAAGAGAAUCCUAAGAUAUGUCAAAAGUUUUGUUGGUUGUGGAUUUCUCUUUCCUGCAGCGGAUACAGGCAAAUAAUGCAAUUUGAUCAAUUUUACCGAUUCCAAUUGGUGUGGAGAUAAAAAUGAUCUAAAGUCUACAGUUGGAUACAUAUUUAUGUUCGAUGGAACACCAAUCUCAUGGUGUUCGAAGAAGGAACCAGUAGUUCCACUCUCGUCUUAUGAGGCCGAGUGCAUUAUUUUUUUGUUAUGUGUGUGUCAUGUCAUGUGGCUUAUGAAUCUAUUAGAGGAGGUGGGCAGCAGUGAGGGUGAGGCUGUUACACUCUUGGUUGACAAUGUUUUCACGAUUAGUAUUGCUAAGAACCUAAUUUCACAUGGGAGAAAUAAGCAUAUUGAGAUGAGGUUUCACUACUUGAGGGAGAUUGUUAGUGAAGGAAGGUUAUGAUUGGGAUAUUGCAGAAUUGAAGACCAAGUGGUUGAUUUGUUGACUAAGGGUGUCACAAAUGAUGUGUUCAAGAGGUUGAAGAUGAACAUAAGCAUGGAAGACUUGGAACACUUGAAUUAAGAUGGUGCGUUAAAUGUUAUAUUGGUAAUUCAAAUACUAUAACUAGUUAACACAGGGGAGUAGCCGGUUAUGGAAAAUCCAUACGCACUUCCGAUGUAGCAGAAAAGUGAAGAUUUCGAAGUUGUAACUGGUUAAACUUAGAUGUUAACCGGUUACCACUAAAGUUGUUUUAAUUUUUAGUGGUGAAGGUGUGAAAAACACAAGAAAGGGUGGGUUUGAAUUGAGUUUUAAAAACAAAAGCAUUUUACCAACUCAAAAACACCACAUAAUACUAAGAAUAAAGAGAUAAAGACACAAGUAUUUUUAUCCUAGUUCGCUUGAAAUCAAAACUACUCCAGUCCACCCGCCAAGGUGAUUUUUCCUCAUAACCAAUGACUUAAUCCACUAUAACCAAAAAAAUUACAGAACAAACACAAAGAACUACUUUUUUUGUCUUCUUUUUGAUCCGACUAAAACCUAGUCUCCUUAAGGAAAAUACAAACAAACAGUUUCAAUAAGAAUUUGUGUGUUACAAGUUGCUUCUACACAAGCAGAUUUUACACAAAUGAAAUACAAAAUACUUAAAGAAAAAUUGUAUACAAAUAUUGAUAGCUUUUCACGUAGAAACAGACUUGUAAAAAUAGUGUAGUGCUUCCGUUGUUUCUUCAAGUCUCCAAGUCCCAGUUAUAUAGCAUAAGAAAGAGACUGUUGGAGGACAAAAUGGGGAUACGAAUAGAGCAGUUGUUCACUAUUAGAUUAGUGACAGGAGUGAUACAUCGUACAUUCCUUUGCUCAUAAUUUCAGGAACAUGUAUGAUGUAUAGUAUUGUCCUUUGCCCAUGAAUUAAGAAGUGGAAGAAAUAUUGAUUUGUACUAUGUACUAUUUGAUCACGUAUCCACUUGAUCUUAUAUUCAAAUUAAUUGGCUUCUAAGAAACAGUUAAUGAAGCAUGACAAGAAGAAACACAAAGCUGAUAUCAGAAUCUUCAUAGACUUCAGUCAGAACCUUGACCACGUUAACGUCUGGCUUGAGAUCUUCAGAAACUUCAGCUAAGUAACGAAACUUCAGAAGCUUGCCUUUCUUCAAAAGCUUGACAAUCAGAGUCAUAUCCAAAAGCAGGAGCAGAGAGAACAUUGUAGCAGCAACAUAGUAUCUUUCCGGAUCUUCUUAGGAGUGAAUCAGUACAGAAGAAGAAAGAGCAUUGCAGCAACAACCUAGCGUCUUUCAUAACUUCUUAUGAUUAGGGCAGAAGCGAAAUUCUGAACAAAAUGUUCAGAAACUGAUGACGUUGCACCUUAUAAACUCAUAGUUAGAACUGGUUGUUAAAGCUAUGCAAUAAUUAACCAUUAGGGUACCAAAAUUGUUCUCACAUAAACACAACACUGUUAUCAUCAAAACUUAACGUAUAGAUGCAAAAUCAAAUCUUGUUCUAACAAUCUCCCCCUUUUGAUGAUGACAAAACCAUGUAUUUUGAUGAAUAAUUUUGUACAUGGUAAUCACAGAAAGAUACAUCUUAGAGAAGCACAAAGCCCCCCCUGAGAUGUACAAUCCUAAAAAGAUAAAAUCAGAAUGAAAGAACACUUUCCUGAUUAACCUUUUUGAAGAACCAGAAUGAUCUUCUAUCAGAAUCUUGACUGUCUCCAGAAGUCGCUUGAACUUAUCCAGAACACUGGUUGUCAAAGUCAACAAUCUUAUGAACUUUACUUCAGAAGCUUGGUUGAACUCUUUUCGAAAGAGCUUCAAAGCUUGGUUCUUUGUGAGAUGCCUGGUUGGAAAUCUUUCUCAUACGAUGAAGUUAUAACUUCAGACUUAGGGAGUAAACCAUUUCUUCAGAAACUGGUAACUUAAGUUCUGAUCUGAAAAACUUCAAGAGCUUAUGAUGUUCUUCAGUUUUCCUGGAAAAUAAUUAACAAACUAUUCUUGGAAGUAUUCGUUAGCAGAAACAAAACAAAAUUGGGUUCUAAUUCACGAACAUAGGUAAAUCAAAAUCAAUUACGUUUCUCCUUAAUUAUGUUCCCCCUCCCCCUUGUCGUCAACAAAAAAGAUAGACAAAAAAAGUAAGGAAACAACGAAAUUUUAAUCAUAUAAAAAAAUGCCAUAAGGAAUUAAAAGUACAGAAGAAUAAACACUUAGUAAAAAAAAUAAAAACACAAAAGUGCUAAAAAUUUGGAAAACUAAGGGUUUGGGUUCUGAGGUGAAGGAGACGACGGAAGUUUGGAAAGAAUCAUCUCAAACAGAAGAUCUUUCUUAUCUAGACACUUUCUGACCAAAACACUUUCUUCUUUAUUUUGGAAAGAGAGUAUUCAUGAUGACUUCAUGAGUUACUCCAGAAGAAGUUUCAGCAGUAGUCUGAUUCUUAGAAACAAGAAUUUAUUGUUCUGGAUCUUGAACUUCAGAAGUAGCUUGUUUUCCUUUGCAUUGCUGAACAUAGGUGUCUUCCAUGAGAACAUAUUGGUGUUCCGUAUUUUCCGCAUUUUCCUUAACUUCUUCCACAAUUUUUGGAGCUGGAAGACAUAAUGGAGCAUGCCGUAACUGGAUGUCUCCCAUUACAGGUGCAAAUCAUGAAUGGAAAUUUCGUUCAGAAACUUUAUGUAAAGUUAUUUAGCUUCAAAAUUUUGGAGUUUACCCAUCCCUUAAAGCUUCCCAAGCCAAAUCACUUUCUGCUAGAUUAAAGGAUAGAAAACUAGUCCUCGUAGCAGCGUGAAGGCACCUUUUAGAAUCUGACUCAAAUUUCCUCAGAAUCUUAACAACGUUAGGUUCUUUAUGUUUGGGUUGGCUGGGAUAUCAGAUAUAAACGCCAAUAAUGUUUGGAUUAGCGUCGGGGCCAUAGAUGUGCGGAACAACAAGAGACGGUAGGUGAAAAUGUUGUUCAGCAUCAGAGUCAGAAGCAAUGUGCUUUGGUUCGAAGUUGAACAAGCUUUCAAGAGUGCCCUCAGACUCUUGGUUUCUAGAAUAUCUCAAAGGGUAUUUUCUGGGUGUUGUAUUUUGAUUAGUUUGUUAGGGAGUGCCAACUUGAACCCUUUUUCCAUAAAGAACAACAUAUACUUCUGAUUGGUGUUGAUGUAAUCAGAGGAGUUGGUGUUGGGUCGGUGAUGAAUACAACCCAAAACUAUCUUGGACCAUACCCUCAAGUUAUCAGGUAGGUCUUUAGCACUUGGACCUUUGGCUUCAUCAAUCUUUGUUCCUUCCUUGAAAAUUAUCGAUGCUACCAUAAUCGUUGUGAUAAAUUAGGUCAGUAAUCAAUUUCUCAGUGACAAUAAUAUUCAUGUUCAUGACGAAGGAAGUGAUUGUGUCCUUUGUAGCAACAACAUGUAUCCAAAAUUGCUUCACGAGCACUGGAUAUACUGGAUUAGUUAAUAUUUCAAAGAAUUCCUUCCAUCCUUGGAAUUCUAAAACCUCAGAGAAAUCAAAAUUGUUAUCCUUUAGGUUUUUUAAGUCGACAAUGGUUUCACAGAGAACCAUAAGCUCAUCAACAGGAGUGUUGAGAGUUAGCUCAGGAAGCCUUUCCAUAACAGGAUGAUUUUCAUCAGCAAUGGAGUGAUUAGGAGAUUAUUAUUGUUGAAAGAAGCCAUUGAUGAAUGUUGAAGUUGAAGAAUGCGGAACAGUUGCAGAGAGUGUUUUGAAGGUUUGAAAGCUUGAAAGUGUGGGAGUAAAGUGAGUGUAGUGUGAAAUAUGAGUGAAUUGGGUUUAUAUAGAAAAUUUUAGUAAUGAUGACAACUAAGUAAUACACCGUCAUAGGGAAACGUAAACGAUUUAACCGAAUCCCAAGAAAUAAAAAACCCAAAGUGUCACGCCAACAUCACGCAUGCUCAGAAAGUGGGACAAUUGUCACCACUAAGAACCACAUGAUAUCAAAUGAAAUGACAAUCAUUUAAUGCAAUAAUUGUUCAAAAUCAAGAAGAAAAAUCGACAAGAUUGCUUCUGAUCAGAACCUUUAUGAUUCAUGAAACUUCCUUACUUCAGAAAGCUCAUGUCUCAGAGUCAACAAAUAAAUUCUCAAACCCUAAUCAAGAGUUCUGAAAGCUUAUCAUUCUAAAAUUCAUCUUUUCAUUCUGGACAAGAGUCCAUAAAUUUAUUUUUCAUAAUGAAAAUGAAUCUAUCUUCAAAAAGAGGUUUUGUAAAGAUAUCAACCCAUUGAUGGUCUAUAUCAACAAACUUUAAGUGAAAAAUACAUUUCGGAACAUAGUCACGUAAAAAGUGACUUUUAAUUUCAGUAUGUUUAGCCCUAGAAUGCAAGAUAAGAUUCUUAGAUAAACAAAUAGAAGAAGUAUUAUCACAAAGAAUAUGAAUGUUACUCUCAAAUAUAUGUUAAUCUUUCAGUUGACUCUUCAUCCAAAGUAUAUGAGUGCUACAUCCAGAAGCUACAAUAUACUCAUCUUCGGCUAUUGAAAGUGAAAUUGAUGACUUCCUUUUUCUAGACCAUGAGGUCAUAUUGUCUCCCAAAAAUUUAUAAAUUCCAGUAGUACUUUUCCUUUCUAUUAUGUCUCCAGCACAGUCAGCGUCACAAUAACCUACUAAAUUGUAAUCACUCGAUUUUCUAUAAAAAAAUCCAAGGUUAGUAGUGCCUUUUAGAUACCUAAAUAUUCUCUUAACAGCAGUUAAGUAAUUCUCCCUAGGAUAUGAUUGGAAGCGAGCAAACAAACAGACACUGAAUAAAAUAUCAGGUCUAGAAGCGGUUAGAUAAAGGAGAGAGCCUAUCAUACCUCUAAAAAGCUUCUGACUUACCUUACUGCUAACCUCUUCCUUCUCUAGAAUGCAUGUAAGAUGCAUUUGAGUUUUUGCUAGCUUGCAUUCUGACAAGUUAAACUUCUUCAGAAAUUCCUAGAAAGAACCUAAGUUCUCCCAUCAGACUCAUUUCAAAUUUUGCCUGCAUUAACUUAGAAAACUCUUUGCACAACGAAGCAUUAGUAGAACCAAAAAUAAAAUCAUUAACAUAAAUUUGCACAACAAGAAUAUCAUUCUUAAAGGUUUUGCAAAAGAGUGUUGUGUCCGUUUUCCCUCUAGUAAAAUCAUUUUCCAAAAGGAAGUUACUUAGUCUUUUAUACCAAGUUUUGGUAGCUUGUUUCAUACCAUAUAACGAAAUUUUCAGUUUGAAAACAAAAUCUGGGUUUUAAGAACUUUAAAAACUAGGGGGUUGGUGCACAUACACUUCUUUUAAAAUGUAUCCAUUUAAGAAUGCACUCUUAACAUUCAUCUGAUACAGAAUGAUGUUAUGAUAUACUGCAAAAGAAACUAAAAUACGAAUAGACUUUAACCUGGGAACUGAUGCAAAGGUUUCUAUAUAGUCUAUACCUUUUUGCUGACUAUAACAUUAUGCAACCAUUCGAGCCUUGUUUCUGACGACUUCGUGUUUUUUAUUGAGCUUGUAUCUGAAUACCCAUCUGGUUCCAAUGACAUGGAAACCCUUUGGUUUCUGAACAAGAUCCCAAACAUUAUUUCUGAUGAAAUGAUUUAGUUCCUCUUGCAUAGUCAGAAUCCAUUCAUUAUCCAAAAGAGAUUCAUCAAUAGAUGUAGGCUCUAUCAGAGAUACCAAACCCAUAAUAGUUUCUUUGGAAGGUGUGAAUGAAGAUAAGGUUUUGACUGGUCCGUCUUUAUCUCCCAGAAUUAAUUCUUCAUAAUGAUAACUUCUUGGUCUAUUCUUCUUCUUAUGAGUUGGAUAACUGACAACUUCUGCUUGAGUCGUUUUUUAGUCUUUAGCUUCAGAUUUUUUAGCUUUGCCUUCUUUAUCUCCAUACUUGUUAUCCUAGGAUUCUGAAAGAUUGAUCUUCAUAUUUGCAAAUUUCUCAACUAGCCUUGACAUUUCAGGGUCAAGCUUAUCAUUGAAUCUAACAUGAAUUAAUUCCUCGACAAUUUGUGUCUCAUUGUUAAAUACUUUGUAGCCUUUAGAGCGUUCAAAAUAGCCUAACAAUUAUGUGCCUUAGAAUUAGGGGUUUCAAAAUGGGCCCGGCCCAUUGGGCAUGCCUGUUUGGCCCACACUUUAGUGCGGGACAGGCAAAGGAUUUAGGCCCUCACCCUCAAAUGUGGCUGCCCUGCCACGUAUUGUUCGUGGGCUUUUACCGGCACAAGUAUUUACAUAAAGUUUUUCAAUUUUAGGCUUAAAAAGUGUAGUGCCCGUGGGAUUCCCCACCCCGCCCUCACUUUUUUGCGGGGCGGACCUAAGUUUUAGGCCCGCAUCCUCAAUCAACAAUGAUCGUCUCGCCCCAUUUUUUGUGAGAUUUUGCAGGGCGGGUAUAAACGGGACAGGCAUACCCGUUUGCCACCCCUACUUAGAAUCAAUCUUACCAAGAUUCUCUUUAGUGUUCAACGUAAGACAAUCACACCCAAAAGGAUAGAAAUAAGAAAUGCUGGGCUUUCUGUUCUCCCACAAUUCAUAAGGAGUCUUACCCAAAAUAGGUCUAAUAGAAAUCCUUUUCUGAAUAUAACAAGUUAUGUUAACUGCUUAUGCCCAGAAAUGCUUAGCCGUAUCAAUUUAUUGGAUCAUGGUGCAAGCCAUUUCUUGCAACGUCCUAUUCUUCCUUUCUACAACCCGAUUUUGCUGUGGAGUUCUAGGAUAGGAGAAAUCGUGGGAAAUGCCAUUUGUAUCAAAAAGAUUUUCAAAAUUCUUAUUUUCAAAUUCGCCACCAUGAUCACUUUUGACUCUGACUAUUUUGCAAUCCAUACUUCUUACCAUUGAUAGAGGCAGUUUUCACUUGUCCAUACAAAUCAAUGUCCAGAAGCUCUAACACUCUAGAGGUAGAAACAACAGUUUUUUCUUUGAAAGAAGUUUUAGAAAACUUCCCUUUCUGACAUGCUUCACAAAGAGCAUCUGAAGCAAACGUAAAUUUAGGUAAGCCUCUGACUAAUCCAAGCUUAUUUAGCUAAGAAUUCUUUCUCAUGCUAACAUGGCCCAAACGUCUACGCCAUACCUAUUGCUCUUGUUUACCAGACAUUAAGAAUUUUACAUUUUGAUCCUCAAGAUCUCUAGUUAAAGCUCAAUCGGGAUCUUCAACCGGUGUUCAUAUGAGAGAUGAACACCUUCCUAGAACGUUUAAUCCCAAGAACCCUAACCCUUAACCUCAAGAACCCUAGCCCUCUUCAACAUACCCAACUGGACCCUAACCCAUUUCACAUGAACCCUAACCCCUUUCACAUGAACCCUAACCUUCUUCAAUGUACCUAAAUAAACCCUAACCUCAUAGUGAAGAACCCUAACCCUGAAGAAGAUGAAUCUCCAUCUUCUUCCUUCAGCCAAACCUAAACCUAACCUAGAUCAAAACUAAACCUACCCAGAAUCAACCCAAACCUUCACCAAAUCACAAAUCUUGAUCCCUUCUACCUCAAUCAAACAUCAAAACACGCAAAUUAAAUGACACAAUGUAAAACCCUAAAUUCCUUAACCUUAAUUAUCAAACCAAAACAACAACAAUAACGUUAUAAAAAACAAUAAGAUAGAUUGCAGAAUUCAAACAACCUACGGAGAAGAGGUGUUUUCCGGUCUCUAAGGUAAAAAUUUCGAUUUCUAAUUCUCUUCUGUUUUAUCUGUUUUGUCUUUUCUUUUGUGCCUAACUUCUUCUUCUCUUUCUGUGUCAGGUCCUGGACUCGUGAAGAUGGUUUAGCUCGGAGGAAUUAGGGUUUCAAUAUGAAACCCUAAUUACGAAUUAAUUAGAGCUUUGAUGGAAGGCUGGUAAUUAUGGAGGCAAUAGUGCUUAGGGUCCUCCCUUUUUCCGGUUAUUCUUAGACAUUUUAUAGAUUAAAAUUAGGUUUAGGAUUGAAUUCUGAUUGUAUCUUUUAGGAAAUUUGUAAUUUGAUUAUGAUUAUAACUAAUUUGAUUCGAUUUCUAAUUUUUUUUUAAUCUUUCGGAUUAGAUGCACUUGGACUAAUUUGUGUUGUAUAAUGAAUCUAUGGAUUAUUCUGGGAAGGUUCGAUUGAAUUUCGUUUGAUUCUAAGAAUUUAGCAGGUUUAGGGUUUCUGGACAACAACGAGGAUUGGGGAUUGAUGGAUAAUCCGGGUCGUGGGUGUGACCCGAUGGGCUAACGGACUUGGAUCAUUUGACCCAGUUGGGUCAUGGACUUGGGUCUAUUGCUUGACCCAAAUGGAUUGGGCUUGGCCUAGUUUGGCCUUCCAAUUAACCUGAUUAAAAACUAAACAAAAUAACCUGAACUAAUAAAAUCUACAAAAAAACAAUAAUCAAACAUUCUAAUAAAACCUAAUUAGUUCUAAUUAAUCAAUACUAUUAAUCUAACUAUGUUAAUUUAACCUUAAAUUAUCCACAUCUAAAAUGAUUAAUUAAUACCAUCCUUUAGUUAAAUAUCCUAAUUAAUUAUUGGUUUAAUCAAGAUGAGAUUAAAAUAUAAAAAGUCAAACUGGUCCCCCUUUGACUUUUUAGGUUAUUGGGGUUGAUUAGAUGCCUUAUAUGGACUCUGGCCACAUUAGUGAUCUAGAUUAGGAGGUCAAAAUUUGGGGUACGACAGCUGCCCCCAUUUAAUCAAUCUAAAGCUGAGAGGAUAAUGACCACUGACCUUAAUUCUCUUGGAAGAAGGUGAUUAAAUAUAGAGAAGAUCCCUAAUUUUGACCUUGUAGUUAGUAAGUCCUGGAAUUGAGCAUGAAUUGAAUAAUUCUUGAUGCUCUGUUAGUAUCCAAACCAACUUAUGAUGGAACCCUGUUGGGGCCUUGUUGACUAAUUUAAGCCUGCUCGGGUGAAAUUGGCAUAUAAUUUUUAUGAUAUUUCGACCACUGCUUAAUAGAACCUUAGUAGAACCCCUUUGAUUAGUUUCAGUCCAUCAGGAUCAAACUUGUGUAUAAUUCCUAUGAUCAUUCGAUCAUGUUAUGGAAAUCAGGUGAGACUCUGAUGAUCUUCCGGUCGUUGCGAUUCAUUUAGAAUCUUUGUAGGACUCUGACGAUCCUCCGGUCGUUAUAUGUUGAAACCCUGGUAGAACCCCUUUGAUUAGUUUCAGCCCAUACGGGUGAAACUUGCGUACGAUUCCUAUGAUCAUCUGAUCAUGCUAUUGAAAUCGGGAAGGACUCUGACAAUCCUCUUGUCGUUGCGAUUCAUUUAGAAUCUUGGUAGGACUCUGACGAUUCUCCGGUCGUUAUAUGUUAGAACCCCGUGUAUUUGAUGGAACUUAUCCCAUGUGCAGGAUAGGUUGCUAAGCUGGAGAAAUGAGAGAUGAACACCUGCUUACCUAUUUAUAAUGAUCAUUCGAGAUGACUGAUUCACUGGAUGUCUUGUUGGGGAGAUCCUUUUCUUAAAAAGACUUUGUUUCUAAGAGGGUCACUUACUCGAGAAGGCCAAUAAGUAUACUUGAGGAACUAUAUUGGUAUAAUUGGGGAUCAAACUUCUAGGAUUGGUCACAAAUCCUAUGUUAUGCUAUGCAUAUCCAUGUGGAUGCAUGUUUUGAAUUGAUGUAUGUGCUUAUGCAUGAUGCUUUAUUUGAGUUAUCGCCUCUUUUAUGAUGUGUAUGAUGAAUAUGUGUAAUUUUAGGAAUUGUGCGAACUGAGGUUUUUUUAACAUUUCAACUAUCUAACCCUUUGAGACUUUAAUAUGUCCACAGACUGGGCAAUAAGGCUCUUGAUGCUUAAGAAUGAUUAAAAGGAAAAGACUUCUAUGUUGGUUAGAUCGUGAUUGCUGAUUUUGGGACUUCGCGUUUUGAGAUGUAAUGUUGGAAAGCUUGUGAUCCUUUUUACGUUUCGAAAUUGAAGUAACAGAGAUUUUCGAAAAUCUUUUUACUAUGCCCUAUGUUUUAAUGUAUUAUUCAUAAAUAAUUGAUAUUUUGUAAUCAAGCGGAAAAACUGUAAACAAAGGAAUAAAGCUAAAAAGACAACAUUAUUUUAUUGAGAAAUUUGACCCGUAAAGAGUAAUAGUACAUAAAGAAAUAAUUUCCAUUAGGGGAGAUAUUUUAAAAGAUGAAAGACUGUAAAAAUGGCAAUGAAAACAAGUUACUUUAUGUUCCUACGAAAUUCAACACAUGUUACUAUCCCUAUGUCUUCGAGGUCACGACACUUUAUUUCGGAGGACGAUGAUUGAAUUAAUUGAUCCCAUUUGAAUUCCUGUUGUAGUAUGGCUCAAGUAUUGCACUCAUAUGCCUUAGUCCACCAGAAUGGUAUAUCCUUUUUUACCUAAGCCGUCCUUUUGGGGUUAUCGACUUAUCGGGUUUUACUUUUAUACAAGUCCCUAAUUUUUGCAUGGAUUGCUCUUUCAAGUUUUCAAUCCACCGAGACACCCUAAUUUUUUCCUAAGCCCCCCUUUCGGGUUUUCAACUUAGCAGGUUGUAAGACCCCAAUUCUCACCCUAAGAUCCCUCAUGCUAUCUCAUCAUUUGCAUUGACUUUGGGAUCACACCUUGGCAUCCUCCUUACCCCUCAUUCAUUGGGUUUGUAUUGGUAGAGAUCACCAAGCACAUUUGAUUGUAUCAUAUUGUGUUUUCUUUUGUUUAAUAACCAAAAUUACAAAAUAUGUCUAUGUAUGCCUUUGUUUCUUUUGUAGGUAGUGUGUGUGUCCACCUAUGCCCUAUCAAGCUCACAACUAGGGUUUGAGACCCUCAAAGAAAAUACAUCAAUCCAACAAUGGUCCACUUUGGUUCUAAAUAACAUAUGUGGAUCCCCAUGUUCUUAAUUUGUUAAUUUAAUCAAGAGUUCAUCAAGAGUUUGAAGCUUGUUUUCCUUGGAAGCCCUAAUUCAUCUAGGUAUCUUGUUUGACUUGCUCAGCAAGUUUCUUCAACAACUGAUCAAAGAUAUCAAGGGAUACUUCAUUAUACAUCAUCUAAAGCAUAUAUGAUCCACCAUUAGUCCCAAAGAUCAAGAUAACUUCAAGUUUGCAAGUUCGUACAAAGAAGUUGACCAGAGAAAUUCAAUUGGUCAAAACUGGGGUUCCAUAGACCCUAUAUCCUACAAUUUGUGUCAUAUGAAAAUCACUCCAAGAGAAAUUUUACUCCUUAUAACAUUCCAAACAAAUUUCAUGUUGGAAUCAAGAUCUAAUCUUGCUUGGAAAGUCAUUUUUAAUGGUGAUAGAUUAUAGGUCAUUUUGUCUGAGCCCUAGUUAGAGAGUCAACCUCCAAGAACCAUAACUUGCUCAAUAUUUAUGAGAUUAAGGCCAUCCAAGUUUCAUGAUCAAAUUCAAUAUGUAUUCUCCAACUUUUAUUCUUUGAUAAAUUACAAAUUCUACUUGCAAGGGCAUGUUCCAAGAGGAAACAUUAUAGGUCAUUUUGGGACAUUACCAUUGGACAAGCAAUUUUUCUCAACUUCUUAAAUGCAUAAAACCCUCACGCCAAAUCCAAAUGAUGUAAAAUUUAUGACCAAAUUGAAGAGGGAUUAAAUAGACACAACUUUCAUGAAGGAACCAUUAUCAUUUGGAGCUCAUAGCAAAAGUUAUUCAAGUUGGAAGAAGUGGUCAUUUGACUUUGUACUUAGAAAAUGUUCAACUAUGUUUGAUUUCUCAAAUUUCCACCUCAAACUUUAUCAUGAUCCAAGCUCCAAAUGGAAAAUUGUUCAACAUCAAAGUUUUUCCCCUUAAUGUCACCUUUCCAAAAAUUCCAAGAUCACUUCAUUUGGACAAGAAUUAAGGGACUUGCGCAUGGUGCCUUUGUUGGGUUUGUUUUGGUAAGUUUCGAAUUCAAGUGAUCAUUUAUCUUUGCAUGCUUACAUGUGAUGGUUUCAGUACUCAUUAUGCACGAAUUAUAGAGGGAUUACAUCAUGGUUUGGGCCCAAAUCAAUGCCCAUGCAUCUAUGCAUCAGUGUUUCAAAUUUUGGCCAAAGUUUCAAAGGGUUCAAAACUGAAUUCCAUAGCCUAUAUAUACCAUCGCAUUGCCUCAAGAUCAGUACACACACAUUGCCCAAGCCUUUCCAGAUCAUUUAUGAACCCCACACCAUAGAAUACCUUGAGGAUUUCUUCGAAAUUGAGUUUAAAUUUUACCUUCUUUUUUGAGAUUCAAACUCCAAGGAUUCAUUGUCUUUUUCAUCUUAAUUGGUCAUUGCAACCAAGAGGAGGAAGAACCAAGUGAAUUCAGAUCAAGAUCAAGCCAAAUUGGAGCUACCCGAAUGUGAAUUUUCUCAAACUUUUCUUCUUCGAUUCUCCCUCAUUUCUUAACUAUUUUACUUGAUUGUUGGUUGGUUGAAGUCCUACCAACGUAGGCAACAAGAUUAAGUUGCUUUGAGGUCAAAUCCAAGCAACUCAGUUCAUGAUCCUCAAAUUUGAAAUCCAUUUAUCUUUCAAUAUACUUGUAAUUGAAAGAAAAUGAGGCCAGAUUCGAGCUCCUGAGCAUUUUUCCUUUAAAAUGAUGUCCUUACUUUUUAUUUUGGUGGUGGUUGAUGAUGGACCAGUCCGGUGAGGACCACUGGAGAAGAUGACCGAAGCUAGGGCUCCGGUGAUGCGUUAUAACAUCCCAGGCCAUCUGAUCUCAUAUCCACGUUUUAAUUCUGGUCCUCCUUCCUAAUUACCACACGUGUACACAUGUUGACUACAAAACAUGAUGGAACCGCGCGCUUGGCCAUCAGAUCUGCCACCUCAAUUAAUGAGGGAGAUUUGAUGGCCUUUGUUUUUUUGAAUUUUAUUUUAAUUUCCGAAUUUCCAUUUAAUCCAUCUAUUUUGUUUGAUUCAUAAUAAUUUCCUUUUUAAUCCAAAAAAUAUGAGACUUUCACUAAAAAUCUUUAAAUAUUUUCUCUUCCAUAUUCUGAAUUAAAAUUAUUUUUUAGAUUAAUUUUGAUAUUUUUCAUGAGUUAAAUGUUUUUGUGCAUAUUUUUAAUUGUUUAAAAAUACUUUUGACUUUCUAAAAAUCAUGAGUUUUUUUUCUAAGGUCCUUUGACUUUGUUUGACCUAGAAUAAAUCCCUUGGACAUUUAUUUGGUGUUUUGACCAAAUUAAAAUGCAUUUUAAUUCAUUUUUAAAUUGAUUUUUAAUUGAAUAAAUGCUUGAAAAUUAUGUUGAGCCUCUUUUAUGGUCUUGUGAUGUUUGACUUUCUGUUUUCCUGUGAUCAUGGUUGAUUUGACUUUUGUUUGACCAAUACUAUUGGAUUUAGGGGAUUGAUGAAAUGUAUAUUUCAUCUCCCAAGAUGAAUGCAUAGUAUUGAUCAGAUGAAUUUCCUCAUGUGAUCAAUUUGGAUUCUAUUUCCCCUUGCCUCUUUAUCUACAUUCCCAUUCUUCCCCAAUCCAUCUUUGACCAAUGAAAUCUCUUUAUGUCUAAUGCUAGUUGAUUCAUCAAUAACCUUGUGUCAGAUGAAUCAACAUGAGCCAAACUGAGAUAGGUCUUUCCCCCAUUUAUUUUAGUGUGUGGUAUGUUUUUAGGAGUUUGAUUCUUUGUACCAAAUCUCUAAUAUGCAUUAACACCUAUAUUUUUAUUGCCCGACCUCAGAUAGUUGUGACUUCUACAUAAGUCCAAUUACGAUUGCUUAACAUAGAGCUAAAUUUGAUCAAGAAGGCAUAACAUUCUAGUAAGUGAGAUUGUAAGUCUCCAAUUCUUCAUGGCAUUGUGUGGAGACUUGACCUUUUUUCCUUUCAUGAGAGCUAGUGGCAUACUUGUUGAAUUAUCCAAGUUGAGCCCUUCUCAUGGAUGAUGUCUUGGUUUAAGGAUUCAUACUUGUGAAUGGAUGGUUGAGUAUUCUCCAAAGAAUGACUUAACAAAAUUAAAACUCUUCACAAACAUUUAACUAACACUUGACUAACUCUUAUUCAUUAUGCUUUUACUUUCAAGUCAUUUACUUUAUGCAAUUUAAAUUUUAGUCAUUUACCAUUCAUUUGCCAUUUACAUUUCAGAUAACUUAUUUAUAUUUCAAGUCAUUUUCACUUUGCUUAUUUGAGCCAUAUCUUGUGAUUUUAUAUAUUGUUUGUUUGCCUUUAUUUUGUUUGUGGUAUUAGGACCUUAAAACACCUAAUAACAACAAAAAAAAACUAAAAAAAACAUUUGUUGGAUUGUUUGGACUUGAUCUAAACUUUUGGACUUAGAAUUAGGCAGCAUUUCCUGUGCUAAAGGACUUGGCCAAUGCCAAUAUUUGAGACUGGGCUAUCUUUGACUAUGCCUUCAUCUGAUGCAAGAUCUUGAGUGCCCUUGAUCCAUCUUCUACUUUGUCUUUGUGCUUAAUUGUUAUUUUGUUAUUAUUGUCUAUGUCUGAUAUUUUGUUAUGAAUUGAUCAAGGAAUAUUUCAUCUGCUACAUUUGAAGACAUUGAAGACUGCUAGCUAUUGGAAUGCUUGCUUGGAUAUUAUGGUUAUCUUUAUUUGAUGCCUUGAUCUUCACAUUAUGCUUGGAUAUUUCUUAUUGCUUAUUGCUUAUUGCUUGUCAAAGUCCAAGAGAAAAUGGGUUUCUAUAUGACAUUCUUGUCUAUUGGAUUGCAUCCCAUUGGUCAGAUCUUUUCAACUCUUAACUUUUAAUUUUUUUCUUAGGAUAGUCUCUUCAUCUCCUGCCACUUCUUAAAUUUCAAAAUCUAUCUCUCUUUUCAAAAACUUUCUUUGCUUGUGAUUUCAAACUUAGACAUGUUUUAAUGAUUAGAAACUUUGGCCUUAUGCCAUUAAAAUUUUCAAACCUUCUCCUAAAUCAAACUUGUAAAUGAAGUUAACCAUAUUGACUUAAAUUUUAAAAAAGACAAAAGGGACUAAUAACCCCAUUCAAAAUUUUGGCCUUUUGUGCCUUCUUGUUAAACUUCUGUUAAAAUCAAUUCACCAACUUCUUUGAAAUUUUUACCAUAAACUACGGGGUUUUGAUCCCUCAUUUUUAUGUUGGUACGUGAUCGAAAAAAUAGAAAGUGUACUAUUUUUUUACCGAUGUAGUAAUAAGGAGUUUUAUUCCCAAGUAUCGAUCUCAGGGAUUGCGUAGGAAACACUUAUUUUACUUCCGAUUCUAUUUGAACAAAAACACAAUGGUUUGGUUGGUUUUGGGAAUUUAUAACAAUAAACACAAAAAGAUAGUAAAGAAUAAUUGAUUAAGAUGAAACAUGCUAGGGUGAGUGGUUGAUUUAACUAGACCGAUACAAAAGCAUAAUAACAUCACACAAUUGAAUUGAAAUACGUAACAUAGUAAUAAGGAAAUCCAUGGUUAGAAUUCAUAACAUCAGAUCAAAUCAGGACCACCCCCUAGCAUUGGGGGGUUUAACCUCUCAUAGUAUUCAAAGAAAUCAUAGUGUGGAAAUUAAACAUUACAAAGAAUUAAGAGAUUUUGAUCUUCAAUGGUUGAUGCCCUUGAAUCUCUCCGUCUUCAAAUCCUCCGUAGUAGCUAUAUUCUCCAGUGCAAUGUUUUUUCUCAUACGUCAAAAAGUAUCUCUCUCUUUCUCUCCCAAGUCUUCUAAUAGCCUCAGAUGGUUUUUUCUCCCAGCAAAAAGUCCAAAAUACCCUUAAUGAACAGGGCAAAUCCACACAACAUAAAGUAGAAUUUCUCAGCCGCGCCCAUCAACACGGGUCGUGUGGAUUCACACGGGUGCCCGUGUUGAUCUUCAAAAGUUGUAUUUUUUUAGAGUAAGCUACAGAGGCAUCAACACGGGCCGUGUGGAUUCACACGGGUGCCCGUGUUAACCCUCUGUUUUACCUCUUUGAGUGCUCCUCCCUGGCAAACAACACGGGCCGUGUUGAUGUACACGGGAGCCCGUGUUGACCUGCUGCAUCUUCAUAUUUUGGCCUUCCGGAGCACCCAACAUUCAACUAUUAGUCCUUUUGAACCUAUGCAACAACCAAAGUGAUGAAAAUAUGCCGGAUAAAAGGUGGGAAUUCAAUGGAAAUGGUGACCGAUCAGUACGUAGGCAUAAGACCGAUGGUCUUGUCAAACACAAAAAUAUAAUCAAUAAAUUCUUUUCUCAUCCCCCCUAGUCUAUAUUUUUCCAAACAUCAUUUUGACCAAAACACUUGCACACAAAAAAGGCUCCCUAGGAGUUCCUAGGAUACUUUGGGUGCUAACACCUUCCCUCUAUGUAACCAAGCCCCUUACCUAUAAUCUAUGACAUUUUAUUAGUUUUGAUUUGAAAACUUAUUAUCUUUGAGUUUUGUUCGUACUUUUCCCUUUUUCUUUGGAAACAAUAAAAGCGCGGUGGUGACUCUGGUUUUACUGACGUCAAGUUUACCCAUAGCUUGAUGGUCAUGAAUUUACCGCUACAUAGGCCUUUAUCCUUUUUUUCUAGGCAUAGUAUUUCUUGACUACGUCAGAGUUCACAGGGCGUGGUAACUCCGCUCCAUCCAUGGUUGUGAGUACUAAGGCUCUGCCAGAGAAAGCCUUUUCACGACAUACGGUCCUUCGUAAUUUGGGGUCCAUUUUUCGCGAGGAUCUUUGUGGAUGGGUAAGAUUUUCGUGAGCACUAGGUCGCCUUCUUCGAAUAGAUGAAGACGAACUUUCUUGUCAAAUGAUUUCUUCAACCUCCGUUGAUAUAAUUGUUUGUGGCAUAUCACAACCAUGUUCUUCUCUUCGAUGAGGUUCAAUUUAUCGAAUCUUAUUUGUACCCAUUCUGCCUCUUUCAAUUUAGUCUCCAUCAGGACUCUUAGAGAGGGAAUCUCGACUUCAAUAAGAAGUACCGCUUCAGUGCCAUAUACCAAAGAAAAAGGAGUUGAUAUUGUCGAAGUGUGAACUAACAUUCUAUAGCCGUGUAGUGCGAAAGGUAUCAUCUCGUGCCCAUCUUUAUAGGUUUUCACUAUUACAAUUGAUUUGUAACUAACUUUGAGUUUAUAUGCAUUAACCCAAAUUCAAAUAAAACUCAAAUCCAAAUGAAACUGAAACUUACAACUUGAAUUUGAAUUACGUUUAACACAAUUUCAAUUUUUAAAAUUUUAAAUUUGAAAAACUAAAUUUAAAUUUUAUAAAAAUUAUUCAAAAAAGUAUCUAAGAAUAAUUUCAAUAUUCUUUACAAACAAAAAAAUUUAAAAAAAUUAAAUUAUAUUUUAAUCGUUUGAGUUGUCUAAAAUUUUAAACUUUUAUAAAAUUUUAAAUUAACUCAUUCAAACGCACCAUUAAUUUUUUAAAAUAAAAAAUCACAAGUUUUAAAAAUAUUUUAAAAAACACAUUUCAAACCAUGUUUCCCCACUACGUUCAAAAGUGAAUCAUGUCGUACAAAUGCUCUUAAGUAGAGCAUUAGUUUAUUUGUUUGCUACUAUCUUAAAGAUGUAUUAGUAAUAUACAUAGACAAUAGAAGCACUAAAAAUAUAAUUAAACUCUAGUGGAAUUAUUGGUCUUUUAAAUGUAUUUUUACUAUUGACUUCUAGUUGUCCUAUGAAGAAUCCACCGUCUCCAAUCCAAGUGCCGCACUAGUGAAUCUUCUUACCUCCACGAGAAUGAAGAAAUGUUCACAAAAUAAUAGUUAGGUCUUCGAUUUUUUCUUUUAAAUAGUACUAUUAUCAUAUAUAAUAAAAGAAAGUGUGAGAGUUAGUUAAUUCUCAAUUUUCUACUUUCCCACUUCAAAUAAAUAAUCAACUAAAAUCCCUCCUAAUCUUUAUGUCACCAUGGAUUUGAUUUCUAGAGGAUUACUAAGCAUUUGGAGAUUCAGAAAAAUCAUAUUGAACCUAAUUCAUGCACCUAAACAUUUUCAUUCUUUUUCUUUCUAAAGGAGAUAUUGGGAGAAUAUUAUGAAGGUUUUCUAGGGACUUGAGGUCUUGCUUUGUCAUUAUCAACACAAAAAUGUGACUGGCAAGCAAUAGCCAAACAAUGCAUGCUCUUCUGAUGACCUCAUGCGCAAAAUGGCUGUGGUCAGCUGGUGGACCUUACAACUCUUCCAUUCACACCUGUAUUUGGACUCUUGCAUGCUUAGUAAAUUGGUUCUUAUUAACAGAAUCUCUCUUCUCUUAAUAUUUACGCAUUAUUCGACAACUAGAUUUAACUCCUGCUUUUUUUUUUUAGAAAUUUUGAUUUCUCAUGUUUUUUUUAAUAAAUUGGUUUUUUUUUUAUAGAAUUUAUUAUACAAUAAUUUUUUAUACAUACAUUCAAUCACAUCACGUCAUAACUUGAAUUUAACAUUUUUUUUUUUUUAAUUUGAAGCACUUAAACUUUAAGUUUCUUCUCUAAAAAAUACUACUAGAAUUAACUUUUUAUUUUUUAAGUUAUAUUUGUUAUGACUACGAUAAUGAGGAUCAUAUCAGUUUAUCGAAUACGAAAAGAUUUUUUAGUUCUGAUAUGUUAACACUUUACUCAGCUUCCUAACUCAGUAUUUAUAGAUAUAGACAUGUGUUAAAGGAGCUAGUGGAGAGAUUGUUUCUUAUGUUUACAAAACUCACUACGCAUCUCCAUGGGCUUGAUUCCUAAGAGAAAAUGUUGGGAUUAUCCUUUAGGGUUAAAAGUGGGAUAAAUCCAAUGAUUAUUUUAGUUAUCCUUUUAGAGAAUCAGGUUCAGGUCAUUUAACAUGUGGUUUGACAUGUCUUCCCACGACAUACUUCAUAAAGGAAGUAGAUCAUACUCGAUCACAUGCUCACCAUGUGCUCUCAUUGCUUAUUAACUAGGUACCCCAAAUGUUACUUAAGAUAUAAAAACUUGGUGGAUCAUUUUUUUCAAAAGUUAAAUGAUGGUGUUCAUUAAAGAAUGUGAAGAGCAUGCUAGUGUAGUAGAGCCUAAGAUAUGUGAGGUGAUAUGUAGGAUGUAGAAUCACUAUUUAGUGGAUUUAAGGAGUCGUGAUGGGUGGUUUGAUUGAAAACUUGUUGAAUAAGGAUGGUUGGGAGUUAACACAGUAGUUUUAGUUAUUCUAAUUAUUAAUUAAUGAAGAUAAUAAUUAAAUACUUUAUCAUUGUUGUGUUUUAAUAAUAACAUGACACCUUGUAAGUGAGGAAAUAAUUGCAAUACUUAGUAAAAACUAGUAAGGAGUUGCAACAUUUGGUAAAAAAUUGUGUUUUAUUAAGGGUCGCAAUACUUAGUAAAGAGUUGCAAAACUUGGUGAAAUGGUGUGUUUUAUAAAGGGUCGCAUCCUUGUGAAACUGCACCAUUUAAUAUAUAAAUAGACUAUUUUGGAUUCAUAAAAACAUACCAAUUUGAACUCUCUUCUUCCUUGAUGGAAUUUCAUAUUUCUUUCUUCCCUACAUUCAAGUUUUCAUUUAUCUUCUGCAAACUCGAAGUAUGAUAAAUUAGCCUGAGUAUUCUUGCAUAUAGACUCUGAGAGAAAAUAAAGGGUAUUUUAAAUACUAUUAGGAAAUUGUUCAUAUGCACGAUUCUAGCCUUAAUCUAUUUAAUUUACAAUCAAUUUCUAAUAGUCUAAUAGUAUCUCAAAUAAUGGUAACUGGUCAUGAGGCUUAUGUUUCAAGCAUAAAAGUGAUUAACCAGUAAAAUUGGAGUGUUUUGAUGAGAAAAUCUCCAGUCGUUGGGAAAGACAAGAUGAUGUUCCCCGUGACUGCAUUGAAGAUCUUCUAUGUUUUUAUCCUGAAUUUGCAUCGAUUCCAGAACCACAAAACAAUGAUUUUCAGGAACUCGAGAAAGAACGUAUGAAACCAAAAGAGGAUGGAUUAUUAUGUCGUGGGCACUUUCUAAAGACACUAUUCGUCCGCCUCUACGAUCUUUUCACAGACAACUGAUCAGCAAGAGAUAUCAAAAAGGCAUUUGAGUUCUAAUUUCAUAAUGAGGAGGAAGGUACUAAACUUUUUUUUAUUUCAAAGUAUUUUGAUUUUAAAAUGUUGGGUUCAAAGAAUAUACUUGCAAGAAUUACAAGUUUUUGUAAAUAAAUUGAGAGUUGUAAAGAUUAAUAUUCCUAAAGCGUUCCAAGUUGGUGCAAUUAUUGAAAAAAAUCAUCUUUUUAGAAAAGCUAUAAGAAGAAUCUGUUUCACAAUUUCGAGGGCUUCUCACUGAAGCAAAUCCAUAAACAUCUUGAAAUCAACGAGGAAUUAAAAGAUAAAGAGAAAUAUGAGGCAAAUAUGAUGAGCGUAAAAGGAAAGAAGACAUGAGAUGGUAAGAAGAGCUAUCUUGGUCUUAAGAAGGAUCAAAAUAAGUUCAUGAAUUAUGUAGGAUUAAAGGGCCACAAAAGAGGUUGUUACGCGUGUGCCAAACAUGGUCAUUAUGCUCGACAUUGCAAGCACAAUAAUUCUCAAAAUGAGGCAAUUGUUGUUCAAGUCGGUGAUAACAUAAGUUUUACUGUGAGGAAAGUUAUGGCGAUAAAAGGAAAGGUACAAGGAUGAUGGUACGAUACUUGUGCUACUGUUCAUAUUUCCUAUGACAUAACACCAUUCAAAACCUAUUCUGAAAUCACCGAUUAAAAAGAGGUUCAAAUGGGAAACGAACGACGUUCCAGGGUCAUUGGAAUGGAACCGCGGAACUCAAAUUCACUUCUCGGAAGAAAGUUACUCUUAUUAAUGUACUUUAUGUUCCCAACACGAAUAUGAACCUUGUUAGUUGGGAUAUUUUCAAAAAACUGGAUAUUAAAUAUAUAUAUAUAUAUAUAUAUUAAUAUAUAUAUAUAUAUAUAUAUAUAUAUAUAUAUAUAUAUAUAUAUAUAUAUAUAUAUAUAUAUAUAUAUAUAUAUAUAUAUAUAUAUAUAUAUAUGAAUUGGGCAAGUUAAUCUUGAUGUGUAAUGGUGUAUUUGUGGGAAAAUGUUAUUCCGCUGAUGGAAUGGUUAAGCUUUGUAUUAUUGACAAUAUCAUUAUCAAUAAAGUUUCUAUUUCUGCUUAUAUGAUUGAAUUUGUUUCUUUAUGGUAUAGUAGAUUAAAUCAUUUUGGUAUUAGCAUUAUGAAAGUAUUAAUUAAAUCUGGUUUAAUUUCAUGUGAUGUUAAUAAUUUUGAAAAAUGUGAAGUAUGUUUUAAAUAAAAAAUGAUUAAGAAACCUUUCCAUAUUGUAGAAAGAAAUACCAACUUGUUUGAUCUUGUGCAUUCAAAUUUACGUGAAUUUAAUGGCAAAUUAACUCGUAUGGGAAAUAGGUAUUUCAAUACUUUUAUUAAUGAUUGUUUUAGAUUCAAAAAUGUAUAUCUUAAAGAAUAAAGAUGAUAAUUUUAAUGCAUUUAAAAUUUAUACAACAGAAGUAGAAAAUUAAUUAAGUAGAGGUAUUAAAGUCCUUAGGAGUGAUAAGGGAGGUGAAUACUUUUCUACUGGGUUUGAUGCAUAUUAUGAAGAAUAUGGUAUUAUACAUGAAUAUUUUGGACCUCGUACACCACAACAAAAUGGUCUAACCAAAAGAAAGAAUAUGACAUAUAUCAAGAAAUGUUAAAUGACAUGUUUUUGAAUUGUCAUUUAACUUAUGGGAUGAAGUUUUUGCAUCUUCUUAUCAUAUAAUGAAUAGAAUUCCUUUAAAGAAAAUAAAUAUUUCUCCAUAUGAUGAAUGGAAUGGCAAAACGUCAAAUAUUAGUUAUUUUAGAGUGUGGGGGUGUAUAGCUUAUUAUAAGUACAUGGAUCCUUAAAGAAAUAAGUUGGAUCCUCGAGGGAUCAAAUGUACUUUUGUAGGGUAUGCACCCAACAGUAAAGCGUAUAAACUUUUGAAUUUGGAGUCUAAUAUAACUAUUGAAUCCUGAGAAGUGAAUUUUUUUGAGAACCUUACCACAAAGGAUAAGGAAUAUAAGAUUCCCAUAAAUAAACAACUUCGUGAGGAAAGUUCUUUGCGAAUUCUUGAAACACAACCCAAAAGUUCUUCAUAGAUCGUUGAAUCAUAACCCGGGCUUAGGACAAGCAUGAGAGUUCAAAAGGCUAAGGAUCUAGGAUCGGACGAAAUCGAUUCCCGACUCAUUUAUUUUUAUAUAGUAGAAGGAAAUAGUGAGAAUUUUGUUAGUAAGAUUCAUAUUAUUCUUCAAGUGGAAUAUAAUCCUAAUAAUUAUAAGAAAGUAGUAGCUUCGAGGGAUUCCUCCUUUUUGAAGGAUUAUAUCCACGACGAAAUGGAUUCAAUAAUGUCAAACCAUACUUUGGAGCUUUUCGGUCUACCUAUAGGAUUGAGACCCAUUGGAUGCAAAUGGAUUUUUGAAAAGAAGUAUCAUAGUGAUGCCACACUAAACACCUACAAGGCUAUAUUAGUAGCCAAGAGUUUUAGACAAAAGGAAUGUGUUGAUUAUUUUGACACAUAUGCACCGGUAGCAUGGACGAUAACACUUAGAGUAUUAUUUGCAUUAGACUUUUGGUGACCUUAUAAUUCAUCAAAUGGAUGUCAAAACGACAUUCCUAAAUGGAGAUCUCAAUGAGGAUAUUUACAUGGAGCGAUCAAAAGGUUACAUGCUUAUUGGAAAUGAACAAAAUGUGUGCAAGCUUGUUAAAUUCUUGUAUGGAUUAAAACAAGCAUUGAAACAAUGUCAUCAAAAGUUUGACUAUGCCAUACAUUCAAAUGGAUUUGUUCCUAAUUCCUGUGACAAGUGUUUGUAAAAAAAGGUGCGUGAGAACAUCAUGAUAUUCCUUUUUCUCUAUGUUGAUGACUUAUUAAUUGUUAUCAACGAGAUGAUUGGAAUUUUGGGAACACAGAGGUUUUUCCUAGGCCACAUAAAACCGUCAUAAAAAACAUUAAUACUUCAGCUAGACGAUGUUGGGAUCAUCUCCCAAUUGAAGAAAUCCACCCCCGUCACCAGAUAUGGCUCAAAUUCUCGCGGUGGUGGAAGCACUUCAUCAGCAAAAUGAAGCCUUGCAAGACAGUGUACAAGUCUUGCAAACACAAAGUCUUAAGUAAGAGGAUACAGAGGAAGAGCCUCUGGACUCUCAACCUUUAUCCAAAUAUAUCUGGGAUGAUCAAGUCCCGGAGAACUUAAAGCCACUGUCGCUGGUGUCUUUCAAUGGUAAAAUUGAUCCAUAUGAGCAUAUUAUUGCCAUCAAUAACCAAAUGAUAGUAAUAGGGGCUUAUGACUCACUCAAAUGUAAGCUAAUGGUCGGAACCUUUAAAGAGGGUGCUUUGAGGUGGUAUAUGAUUCUACCUAGGUUCUCGGUCAUUAGUUACCAAGACUUAACCAAGAAAAUGGUACAUCAUUUUUUGACAACUAAGCCUAGGAAAGUGUUGACCACCAAUCUAUUUAACAUCUAACAACAGCAUACAUAAUAUCUCCGGGAACAUAUGAAGAGAUUCAAUAAUGAAAAAUUAAGGUAUCUCAUCCAAAUCAUGAAAUGUUCGUUGGAGCAUUUCAGCAUGACCUCAAAGUCGAACAAUUCAAUGAAUCUUUAGCACAAAAGUUGACAUCUAACAUUGAUGAGGUUAUCACCCGAGAAUAAUGUUACAUCAAAGAAGAGGAAAGUAACAUGGAGAAAAUAUCCCAAGAUUCAAAAUAAAAAUUAUGUACCAAGGAAGAAGGAGAGGGGCCUAGAAAAGAAUACUUUAAGUCGGGACCCAGAGAUCGGCUAAUAGAAAUACCAUCCCGGUGACCAUUUGAAAAAGAGCAGGAAUACACGCUACUAAAUUCUAGACAUUAAGAUAUCCUAAAAGAGGUUUAUCACCUUAAGUUGCUCCCAGACUGGUACGCCCAAAGGGGAUGCAUACUAUGAUUAAAAAAGAUGAAAGCACAUGGUGUGCAUACCAUAGACUUCGAGGACACCAUAUAGAAAAUUGUCAUCAGUUGAAGAAAUAAAUUGAGGUAUUAAUUCAGAGAGGUCGACUAUUGUUGUAUGUUAAGUACGUGGGAGGUCAUCUUGGAAAGAGAAGUCCUCACCGAGAGGACCCAUGUUUGGAAAAUCCCGCACAGAAGAAAGGAAAGAAUAUAGAAGAAGUCCAUGAAGCCGAGAUAACUUGGCAUACACUAAGCACCAUAGUAGGGGGAUUCACGGGAGGACGAGAAGCCAUCUCGACUAGGAAAAUAUAUGAUCAAUCAAUGAUGCAUAUUGAACAAAAGUCGCCUUUAGAAGAGAAGGAGAACUCGAUUGUGAUCAAUUUCUCUAGAAGAGACUCGGAAGGAGUGUUGGCUUACGAAAACGAUCCCAUGGUGAUUAAAGUUCAGAUUCACGACUGAACCGUAAAAUGAGUCUUGGUAGACCCCAAAAGUUUGGCAGAUGUUUUAUAUAUGGAUGCAUUCAAGGGGAUGAAUUACGAUAACAUCAAGCUACUACCAUUUAAAGGUACCUUGGUGGGAUUUUUCGAAGAUCACGUACAAGUGCUAGGACAUUUUCCCAUAAUAAUAACCUUUGACAGCACAAACCAUGUGAAAAGUAUCCAAGUAAGGUAUCUAAUUGUCAAUGUUGUAUUAUUAUUGGCAGGAUCUCAUUCAAUGUUUUAGAAACAAUGUUAUCCACCUCAUAUCUUAUGUUAAAGUAUCCUCUAGAAGACGGUCAAGUUGGAUUCGUGAAAGGUGAUCAAGGAAUUGCAAGGAAAUGUUAUAAAGAUAGUCUAAGACUCAAAAGGAGGAGUCAUGUCGGCAAACCAAUCAAGGGCGUCCAGUUAACAAUAAACUUAGUCGACAUUGAUUCGAGAGAAGAGCUAUCAGAAAACCAGCCAACAAACAUGAAGAAUACAAGAAAGAUACAAAAUGGCGUCCGAUCAGCUCAUAUAACUCAAAUUGGUGCCGGUCAGAUAUCGAAGGAUGAAGACAGAAGUAUCGGAGUCAAAUUAAACAUGGGGAACCACCCUCUUGCACAUAACUUUUUUAUCCCACCAUGGAGGUUCUGUAAACAAGUGCUAAGUAUUUAGAGCUCAUCACUCGUAGAAGUCGAGCAUACAAAUUUUCUAGUAGGAGCUAUCAAUCACUUCACUAGAUGGGAAGCGUCAGAGGCAAUAAACAAAAUCAUAUUGUCCAGAAUAAGCAGGGAGCCAGGAUUAGAAAGAUAUGGACCGAGAAAAUGUAUGAAAGUUGGUGGCCUUGCCACAUUACAUCUCAUUCAACUACUUGGGAGAAAACUUUAGCAACAGUUGGUGAAACUGAUAUAAUGAUGUCAGUCAUGAUCAACAUGCCGAUUUGGGGACGUCAUACUUUGAAUGAAAGAAUAAGCUCGGUGGGCAUAGAUAACCGGACAGCCACACAAAGGAUUACCGGGAGGUUUAGUAUCGAGAAAAUGGGGUGUCAUAAAGGAAGUCUAAUGAUAAACAAUGUGGCGAACUUUAGGAAAAAAGAUGGGCUGGUCCCGGAUGGGGAAGGUUCCUUUUGUAACAAUCAGAGGAUGAAUAAUGAGGCUUACAAGUUGGAAUAUGUAGAUGAUAUUGGAAUAUCUGGGACCUGGAUUGUAAUUGGUCUUGAGCUAUAUCAUAACUAUUUUAUGUUAUAAAUAUCAUAAAUAAAAAUUAUAGGAUGCAUUCUUUUCCCUUGCAUGUGCGAGAGUUUUUAAUGAGGCACCCAUAGUCAAAGAAAUAUACUGUGUAGAGCAUGUAAAAUAGGGCCUCUGGCAUAAUCGGCUUCGGCCAGGCUAUGUAAAAUUGAAACCUCUGGCCUAAAUGAAGUCCAAACAACUUGAAGCCUCUGGCACAAUCGAAUUCGGUCGAGUAACGUUUAAUAAAACCUAUGGCUUGACUAAAUUCCAAGCAACUUUAAGCCUCUGGCAUAAUCGGCUUCGGCCGGGUAAAGUUUAAUAAAACCUUUGGCUUAAUUGAAGUACAAUCAACUUGAAGCCUCUGGCAUAAUCAGCUUCGACCGGGUAACGUUUAAUAAAACUUCUGACCUAAUUGAAGUCCAAGAAAAUUGAAGCCUCUGGCAAGGCUUAAUUGAAGUACAAUCAACUUGAAGCCUCUGGCAUAAUCAGCUUCGACCGGGUAACGUUUAAUAAAACUUCUGACCUAAUUGAAGUCCAAGAAAAUUGAAGCCUCUGGCAUAAUCGGCUUCGUCCGGGCUAAGUAAAAUUGAAACCUCUUGUCUAAAUGAAUUCCAAGAAACUUGAAGCCUCUGACAUAAUCAGCUUCGUCUGGGCUAAGUAUAAUUGAAACCUAUGGCCUAAUUGAAGUCCAUAAAACUUGAAGUCUAUGGCAUAAUCGGCUUCGGUUGGGCUAUGUAAGUUAACAAAAAUGUGUCUGGAAAGAAAUAGCCAAACUUUGCAUGCUCUUCUGAUGACCUCAUGCACAAAAUGGUUGUGGUCAGCUGGUGGACCUUACAACCCUUCCAUUCACACCUGUAUUUGGACUCUUGCAUGCUUAGUAAAUUGGUUCUUAUUAACCAGAAUCUCUCUUCUCAUAUUUAAGCAUUAUUCGACUUUUCAUCUUUAAAGUAGAUUUCACUCCAACUUUUUUUAUUUAGAAAUUUUGAUUCCUCAUGUUUUUUUAGUAAAUUGUUUGUUUUAGAAUUUAUUUUUUGCAUACAAUAAUUUUUUUAUACAUACAUUUGAUCACAUCACGACAUAACUUGAAGCUAACAUUUUUUUAACUAGAAGCACUUAAACUUUAAGUUCAUUCUUUAAAAAAAACUAGAAUUAAUUUUUUAUUUUUAAGUUAUAUUUGUUAUGAGUACAAUAAUAAGGAUCAUGUCAGUUUAUCGAACACGAGAAGAUUUUUUAGUUCUGAUAUGUAGACACUUUAUUCAACUUACUAACUCAGUAUUUAUAGAUGCAAACAUGUGAUAAAGGAGCUAGUGGAGAGAUUGUUUCUUAUGUCUAUAAAACUCGUUACGCAUCUCCAUGGGCUUGACUUCUAAGAGGAAAUGUUGGGAUCAUCCUUUAUUGUUAAAAGUGGGACAAAUCCUAUGAUUAUUUCAGUUAUCCUUUUAGGGAAUCAGGUUCAGGUCAUUUAACAUGUGGCUUGACAUGUCUUCCCACGACAUACUUCAUAAAGGAAGUAGAUCAGACUCGAUCACAUGCUCACCAUGUGACCACAUUGCUUAUUAUCUACGUACCCCAAAUGUUACUUAAGAGGCAAAAACUUGGUGGGUCAUUUUUUUCAAAAGUUAAAUGAUGCUGUUCAUUAAAGAAUGUGAAGAGCAUGCUAGUGUAAUAGAGCCUAAGAUGUGUGAGGUGAUAUGUAGGAUGUGGAAUCACUAUUUAGUGGAUUUAAGGAGUCGUGAUGAGUGGUUUGAUUGAAAACUUGUUGAAUAGGGAUGGUUGGGAGUUGACACUGUAGUUUUAGUUAUUCUAAUUAUUAAUUACUGAAGAUAAUAAUUAAAUACUUUACCAUUCACUACGCCAAAUAAGGGAAAAGAGGGCGCUUAUUUUGGCCUAUAACAGCGCUUUUAAGCGCCCUCUAAAGUGGCGCUGGCAUAGGUAAAGACAGCGCUUUGUUUUCCUGGAGAAAGCGCUCCGGUCGAAAGUUGAAAAAAAGCUGGUAACGAUAUUCCUCCAACGACGUCCGGGACAAAAUCUCAAAUUAUGAUGCGUCUGAGAAAAUGGUGAAAUGAGUCCGAUAUUAUGCACGGGGUCAUUCGUAGUAUAGAUUUUGAUGAGGUGUUUUCGGAGCUGCUCAUUUCGAAUAAUUGCAAAGGAGGACAUGCAACAACUUUUUGAACACGACGAUUGGCAUCGCUGUCAUUCAAUACAUACAUAUGGUACUCCGAUCAAUCUAUAAUUUACUUAGUUGAACAAUUUUUACAUAUUUCAAUGAGUAGUCUAAUGUUUAUUAUGUUUCUAUUUAAGGUAUAUGAAUGUAACAUUGCUGCGGGGAACUGAAUUGUGUAACCGUUUCAAUUUUAUGCUGCUUCCCGUAUCAACGCAACGUUAAUAACGAAAAAUCCAACAUCCGUAAAGAAUGAUCUUAGUCGAUAGAUUCAUGGCGGCCGCGAUAAUACUACACCCAGUUUGUAUUUUUACCGUUUAAUUCUGGCAACGGGUUUAGAUUUCUUUCUAAUAAUUUCAUUCUAAUCUAUGUAUAUCUUUUACGUAGAAAAUUUUCAUUCAUCUAAAUUUUGUUUUAUUUUACAGUGGUCACUGGGUUGGUUGCUAUGGAUCUUUCGAGACUAAUAGUGUAUUAUCUCGAUUCGUUAUCGGGUGAUUGGAGUAAAUAUCCGAGUAUGAAGAACGGUUGACGCGUAAGUGAAAUUCCCCUAAAUAUUCGUGUAUUUGUAUAUUUAAUUAUGUCUGUCAAAUUGAUCUCAAUAUACGUUUUAUUUUGUUAGGGCAUAAUAAAAUUUAGAUCGAAAAAGAAUUAUCGCAAUAGGAAGGACAUUACCUGAUCAGAGUUCAGGUAUAUAUUAAGUAUCUUAUUUUUGCUUAUAAUAGUGUUUGUUUUUUGCUUAUAAUAGUGUUUGUAGAAAUUAACUAUAUAUAUAUUGUUUGUUUUCUGUGUAGUGUCCUCAGCAAAUAAUUCAGUCGAUUGCGGAUUUUGUAUUGAGAUUUAUGAGAGAUAUCAUUGCGUUGAAUCGUAUAGACGUCCCAAAAUGGUAUGGAAUAAUAACUUAGGGUUUAUUUAAUAUUAUCGGAUAUUUCAUCUAAUUUGUUACUAAAUCAUGAAUAUGUUUUAUUCUCUUAAUUGUAGUACUUUGAGGAUACAAAUCUUACUCAAGAGCUCUUGGAUGAAUGAAGGAUGAAUUGUGUCAAUUCAUUGUUGAUCAAAGAAUCAUAUAGCUAGGUUGUAUAUUGUUGUACAUAUUAUGUAUGGAAUGUUGUUGUUGUAUGCUGUUGUUGUAUAUAUGUUUGUAUAUUGUUGUUGUACUUUUACUAAAUCAUGAAUAUGUUGUUGUAUAUUGUUGAUCAAGAAUCAUAUAUUAAUGUUGUAUAUAUGGAGGAUUAAUGUUGUAUAUAAAUGGAUUCAUGUGUAUAUAUCAAUGGAUUAAUGGUGUAUAACAUUGGAUUAAGGAUGAAAUCAAUAUGAAUUUUACACUUUUGCAGCAUGCGAACAGGUUACCAAUUAAAUAUCCACUGUUUUUCAAACAAUUUUUUUUAAAAUAACUAACACUUUAGAGGCGCUUUCUGUAGGAAGCGCCCUCUAAACAUUUUACAUUGACAACUUUAGAGGGCGCUUUAUCCAGAAAGCGCCCUCUAAACACUUUACAUUGACAACUUUAAGGGCGCUUUUUCCAGAAGCGCCCUCUAAACACUUUACAUUGACAACUUUAGAGGGCGCUUUUUCCAGAAAGCGCCCUCUAAGGUGUCCCUUUAUGGGCCACUCCAGAGGGCGCUUUUUUCUGAAAGCGCACUAUAAUGUGGCCCUUAAAGGGACACUUUAGACAGCGCUUUCUCCAGGAAAACAAAGCNCUGAGAUAUGGACACAGGGAACAAAUAGAGAACGCCUUUAUUGACGCCCUCUAAGGUAACUUAGGAGGGCGCUUUAAACGCGUUCUCAUAUGCUCAUGUACAUUCCAUUUAUAAGGGCAGAUUUUGGAAAGCUUAGAGAGCGCUUUUAGAAGCGCCCUCUUAGGCCCCUUUAGAGGGCGCUUUGUACAACAGCACCCUCAAAGUUGAAGCAAAAAAACAAAAUGGAAUGGAGGCGACAACAUAGAGGGCGCUUUAGUGAAGCGCCUCUAUACCUUAGAGGGGCUUUUAAAAAGCGCUCUCUAAUCCACUGUAAUUCAGUUUAGAAGCGCUUUUGGAAGCCUUAGAGAGCGCUUUCAGAGCGCCCUCUUAGCCAUUAGAGGGCGCUUUUUUUACAAACAGCCCUUAAGGUCCCCUUAGUAAACUUAAUUAUAUAACAUAUACGCAUGUUCUCUUUAUUUCCUCUCUAUAGCUAUUCGUUUACGUAACUGGGUUUUCUCUUACUGCGAUUACUCUCGUCCUCCGUUCGUCCCCUCCCUCACCGUCAUCGUCGCCGUCGCCUUUUUCUGCUGCUGCGUUCACGUUCACGCACUUCCACCGUCACUGUUCACUUUCCCCUCUCCAUCGUUCCGUCAACCUGAAGUAUUUCUUCCUCUCCAUCGUUACCGUCACUUUCUUCAUGUGUUGAUUAGGGCAUUUUCUAAACUUAGUUUUACAUUUUUGUGCUUUUGUGAUAAUGUUGGUUAGGGCACUGAGUUUUUUUAUUUCUAACUGAAACUGAUAUCAUUUGAAGUGUGUUUGAGCUGUGCUUGGAAGUUUGAUGUAUUAUGGAUGCGUUGUUCUGUUCCAAACACCUAAGUUGCAUGUCUUUUCGAUGCAGUAGUGUGUGUGAGUUUGUAUUCAAUAUGAUCAAAAAGAGUUUAGAUUGUCUAACAUGAGAAAUGCGGUAUAAUGUGUGUCUCCGUAUUGAUCAUUGUCUUACUUUGGUCUUAUUGAAUCAUUUCUAUUACAGGAUAAAAUGGGCUACCAAGACGAUAUCCCAUACGGGAAUAGGAUUCACGUACCAAGUGAAAAAAAUAUCAUAAGACGAGAGACUGUUAUGAGUCAAUCAUUCGUGCAGAGACAAGGGGUGAAAUUUACAGUUAUUGCGAGUGCUAAAGACCACUAAUUGGGUCCUAACGGUUAAUGUUGGCAGUUACAUCUGGUUUCACAUUGUUCGACAACAUAUUCCGUUACAGUGUAAUUGGAGAAGUCCGACUUGAAGUGGUUGCAACAAAAAAUCCAUGGCGAGUACAGGUACUCGCACAUAUUUGUAAUGGUUUUUAUUGGUUGAACUAACUUUGUUGACCAACUAUUAUUGUUAUAAUAAUUACUUUAUACUAACCAUCCCUCUGUGUAUGGUUUUUAGAGAUCUCUUCACACGGAUGAAGCCCCCCCAGGCCAAAAUGAUGUAUUCCAACUUGGCCGAAAAGACUCCAGGAAUUCGCUCCUUUUUCCUGCUCACACAUUCUCAGGCAGAGGAAGGCAAUUUGUAUGAAGCGAACGACUAUGAGUAUGCCGAGAUCCUAUUUCAGCGACAUGAAUGGAUAACUUUGUCGCCACAAGAAACGCAAAAUCCAUGUAAUCUAUUAAUUAGAGGUUCAUUAUUAGAUGUAGGUAUGGUGUUCAAUAAUGCUCUAACUUUUUAUCCAGGAGUAAGCGACAAAAUCAGGAAACAGCGGCACAAAACCCGCGUAUACCGACAAGAACAGGGCAGUACGGAGAUAGCCGUUGACAACAAAGAUUGUUGAGUAUAUCCAAUGCUAUAGCUUACUUGUCACAAUAAGUAUAAUAUGAUGAUCUUUAUAAUACUAAUGUCAAUGUGAUGGCUAGCCGAGGAGAAAAGUACACAACAGUCCUCGGAGACAGUAUUAUGGACAGGCUGCUCGGUUGGCGAGAUGGGCUGUCGUAAGCCGGUCCAAACUGUCAUUAUGCGAGCUGAUAGAGCAUAUGUACAUUUUUCUAUUAAAUAUACGAAAUUUGGUCAACAUAUAAUUCUAUAUGUUAUCUCCUCUAUACAUAUUUCAAUGAGACUCUAUCAAACCUUAACCUUCCACCGAGGUCCAGGAAUUAGCGAAGGCGUACUUAGUCGAGACUGAAAUGUUCCUGAGUAAUCUCGCUCGUAGCGAGGUAAGGGCUCUUUGGCGUGACUCGUCAGUUCACUUCCUAUAAAAUAACCAAAAAAAAAAAUCUCAACAAGGAAGUGAUGAAGCCUAUGCGCGAAAGUCAAGGAAACCAAGCUCUACAACUGCAAAACCGAAGAUUGCAAACCCCGGCCUAGAGCGAAAAUUGUGGCCUCCGAGGCAAAAGCUACUUAUGUACGGCUAGAAUUUCAAUGUCACCGAAACUUUCACGACCCAACCCAACACUAAUUAUAUAAUAUUUAUUUGAAUCACAGAGCACCUUUAUUUACUUGAACACAAUCCACACAGAUUAACAAAUAAAUUUAUAUUGUUUAGGGCAUUUCACCUUGUAGAUUGUAUCCUAUCGUCACCCAACUGUAUCGCCCUGGUUCAGGCAAGGGAAGUGCCAAAUUCGGGUGAAUUACCUCACCAUAUCCGUCCACCAAUGGCUAUCCUGAAAGUUCCCUCGAUGCUUGACCUAUUACUAUACCGACGCGCUUCACCUCCUCUUUCUUGACUUUUUGUUCAGAGCAACUCUGUCUCCAUUGAACGAUGUGUCUUUUGCUUGGAAGCUCAUGUUCUCACAUAUCAUAUUCAUUUCCCAGAAUGCAAUGGAUGAGCACAUAUUGUUACUUACAUGAAUAUAGGAAUACAUUUCAGUUCUCUCUUUUCACCAUUCAGCCUUAGUAAGUAUUGAUCAUUCUCAAACUUCCAAUCCCUUAUUCAUGGUAACAGUUAGAACUCUACAAGACCACAGCAAAAGUUGGAUAAGGAUUUCAAGACGCAUCGAGGUCGCGUUGCAUCUUCUAAAACGGUAACAUAGCUACCUAUAGCUACCUUACUUGACAUCUAUACGCAACGAUUUCUGUUGCAUCACAAUCAUGAUUUAUUUUAUAUCUGAAUCUGUAGAUUUCCGGGUCGAUAUGUUGAAUAAGCUAGAUUACCACAUCUGCUCCCUCCGACGUAUCUCAGAGAUCACAUUACUCAAAUUAUGGAUUGCGUCUUGAGACAAGUUGAAAUUUGCUUCAUCGGCGACAGUCUGCCGUAGGUUUUAUCUGUGUUAGUCGGUAGAUAUAAUAAUCAUAAUGUGGGUAUAUUCGAAUUAUCAUUAUCACAAUUAAUUUUUCAAAGUUUCUAUGAUCACUAAGGCAACAUAUCCAAUCACUUUUUUUUGCAAUCACUAUCCAACGCAAUCCGCUUCAUUGUCGUUUCUACUCAAUUCAUUCAAGGUUACUUUAGCCAGAUCAAUCAUUAUAUUUACCUAGAUUUUAACCAUUUAUAUUCAAUUCAUGGAGUUAGUCUAAUGAUUUAUUCAUGCUUCUCAUUCUACGGUAUACCUAUGAUAUGAUAAUUUUUAUUCCCAGCCGGCACCUUCGAAUUGAUUUAAGUACACCGUCUUAUCCAUCUUUAUUUCUUGAACUCCACGUAAUUUCACGCAACGUUAAUAACGAAAAACUCCAAACAUCCGUAAAGAAUGAUCUAGUCGAUAGAUUCAUGGCGGCCGGCAUAAUACUACACCCAGUUUGUAUUUUUUUACCGUUUUAUUCUGGCAACGGGUAGUUUUCUUUCUAAUAAUUUCAUUCUAAUCUAUGUAUAUCUUUUACGUAGAAAAUUUUCAUUCAUCUAAAUUUGUUUUAUUUUACAGUGGUCACUGGGUGUUGGUUGCUAUGGAUCUUUCGACAAUAUGUGUAUUAUCUCGAUUCGUUAUCGGUGAUUGGAGUAAAUAUCCGAGUAUGAGAAGAAGGUUGACGCGUAAGUGAAAUUCCCCUAAAUAUUCGUGUAUUUGUAUAAUUUAAUAAUAUGUCUGUCAAAUUGAUCUCAAUAUACGUUUUAUUUUGUUAGGUGAAUAAAAUUUAGAUCGAAAGAUAAUUUCGCAAUAGGAAGGACAUUACCUGAUCAGAGUUCAGGUAUAUAUUAAGUAUCUUAUUUUUGCUUAAAUAGUGUUUGUUUUUUGCUUAUAAUAGUGUUUUGUAGAAAUUAACAUAUAUUAUAUUGUUUGUUUUCUGUGUAGUGUCCUCAGCAAAUAAUUCAGUCGAUUGCGGAUUUUUUUAUGAGAUUUAUGAGAGAUAUCAUUGCGUUGAAUCGUAUAGACGUCCCAAAUGGUAUGGAUAAUAACUUAGGGUUUAUUUAAUAUUAUCGGAUAUUUCAUCUCAUUGUUACUAAAUCAUGAAUAUGUUUUCUCUUAAGUUGUUACUUUGUAGGAAUACAAAUCUUACUCAAGAGCAUAUUGGAUGAAAUGAAGGAUGAAUUGUGUCAAUUCAUUGUUGACAAAGAUCAUCAUAUAGUGUUUAUAUUUGAAUUAUAGUAUGGAAUGUUGUUGUUGUAUGCUGUUGUUGUAUAUAUGUUGUAUUUGUGUUGUACUUUUACUAAAUCAUGAAUAUGUUGUUGUAUAUUGUGAUCAAUAUCAUACUAUUAAUUUGCUAUAUUGUGGGAUUAAUGUUGUAUAUAAUAUGUUGUAUCUGUGUAUAUAUCAAUGGAUUAAUGGUGUAUAACAUUGGAUUAAAGGAUGAAUCCAGAUAUAUUUUACACUUUUUGCAGCAUGCGAACAGUUACCAUUAAUAUCCACUGUUUUUCAAACAAUUUUUUUUAAAUAACUAACACUUUAGAGGCGCUUUCUGUAGGAAGCGCCCUCUAACAUUUACAUUGACACUUUAGAGGGCGCUUUAUCCAGAAAAGCGCCUCUAACACACUUUUCAAUUGACACUUUAGAGGGCGCUUUUCCGAAGCCACUCUAAACACUUUACAUUGACACUUUAGAGGGGCGUCUUUUCCAGAAAGCGGCCUCUAAGGUGUCCUUUAUGGGCACUCCAGAGCGCCCUUUUUUGAAGUGCACUAUAAUGUGGCCCUUAAGAGGGCACUAUUUUU